rnacentral:lncRNA from 1 species
UGAUUCCUUAUUCUGAUUAUCAUGGAGAAAAGGGGAACAUGAACUUUAAUGGGUGUUAACCAACUAGCAUGCAAUGAUUAAUUGUGAUUACGUGUUCGAGAAAGACUAAUUUGUGCUUCCUAUUUGAAUUUGUUUGAAGCCUUUUUGGUAAAAGCCAUGGUAACUUUAACUAAACUCUCCCAGGUCUGGUGGAAAUUUAUGUACCAAAGUCUAAUUACAUGUUUAUAGCUUUAGUGACGUAGGAAGAAGCACACUGACCUCUCUGUUGUGUUUCAGUUUGGGAGACACACCGGGAGAUGAAACCGCUAAUGAGCAAACUCGCAGAGGCUGGACGAGGACGUCGGCAACCACCUGACUCUUAAACUUGUGUACAUAUGCAUCACCUUAAGCUAAUUGCUGCCCAUUUUUGCCCCAUACCUGUGUACAUUUACAUAGAACAUCACAGUAAAGAAAUGUUUUUUUUACCGAUUUUGGUUGACAUGUGUUGUUCUUGUUACCUGACAAAGUUCAUUGUUUUGCUUAGAAUUAACUGAUUAUCGAGGCGCCAUGUAACCAAAUGUUUUUUUUCUCUUUUUUUGCUGCUGGAAGCACAAUUUUUGGGCUGACCUAACAACAAAUGGUGACGGCAGUGUGCUUGUCUGACUGUUGUUCGGGGUCCUGCUUCAGCGAUGCCGUUGUAGUGAGUAUGAGUGAUGUAAAUGCUCCUGCUGUUAUUAAUAAAGAAAGGCAUUUUUUGUUUUGUUUUUUUAACUGCUUGUCUUUGGGUUGCUUUUGUUGUUGGUGCUGCAUUGAGAGGAUUAGGAAUAACGCGUAGGCCAACUUCCGAGAAAAUGAAAUGUCAUGCUUUGUGGACGGAUCCUUCCUGCAUAAAUUGAAAAGUCGAUUUGUUUUGUACCGAGCAAAUCAAGUCAUAUACAUCAAUCUAUUACAGGUUCUAGAAUUUAAAAACUGCAACAACAAAAAAAGUUCUGUCCCGAUGAAGCUUGAUUAGACAUUGGGUGGUAGCGAAUGUGUGUAGAUUGAGCACCAUGGUUACCACUCCAAGCGCUGAGCCGAGAGAACAGUAUACCAUGACACCGUCGCAAAUUUUACGAAGACAAGAUAUCAACGUCAUUAACAUCUCAUCGUGUCAUAAGAAGACAAGAUAUCGACGUUAACAUCUUGUCGUGUCAUAAAAAUACAGCACGAUAACUAAAUUGGAAAUAUUUGCUAUGAACUAUGCCAAAUAUCUACUACUUCCCUUCUCUAUCUACUUUAUCUAUCUAUAUAUACUAUUUAAAAAAAGAGUAGUGUUCCUUUUUCUGUCAGCAUAACGCUUCGUCUACCGGUUCUCUCCCUUCCCACCAUGUCUCUCGAUCGAUUUUUUUUGUUUUUUGUCCCAUCACAUCCUUUGUCCGCACCUUACCCAGUAUGCUAAUCAAUCAUCUUAAUUUACUUAUCUUUGAGAUCAAUUGCAUAUUAAUUUACUUACCAAACAUUUUAUCAAAUUAUAACACAGAUGUCGGGGGCUCUGGGACCGGGGGUACCCAGGCCCGUCUGCCUGCGGCCCAUGCGUGCCAUCGUCAAAGGCCCAGUACGGCCCAGCGCCACGUCUUCAUGAGCAAUACCUUCGUGAGGGCCCUCGUCUCCUGAGGUGGCCUCACGAGGGCGGAUACUCCUAGGCUCGCCACCCAGCCUCAUGAGGCGCGUGGUGACCGUGAGCCAUGAUGAGCGGAGCCAGGAGGGCGCCAGCGGGCGCAGGCAAGGACACUUUUCUCUUUGGUGCUAAGGAGGCAAGGACGUACACGGGUUCCCGAGGAAUCCCCCAAAGGUUGCCAUUCUGGUGCAACGAGACCAAGACCACGGGCACGUCAGGACGGAGGUCAUCACCGAGCCCACCCGCGCGUCACGGCCAGAAGCUUUGCAGGCGAAAACCACCUUUUAGUCAAGAUAAGGGGUACUACUUUCCUCCUUCAAAAUUGGCCGCUGUGGUAUCCCUUCCCGCCUAGAGCCUUGGGGGAAGAGGAUCGGGCCAGUAUAAGUAUAGGCCAGCCUCCACCGUAGAGAGGGAGGGAGAGAGAAGUGAGAUCGGUAGAGACCACCGAAUCCAUUCACCCCCCGAGCCCUCGCGAGGCAGCUCACCCCUUGUACUAGUUCGUACUCAUCCUCCUCGCGAGGCAAUCCACCACAAAGUAGGAAUAGGUUCUUACACCGCAAGGUGCCCCGAACCUGGGUAAAUCAUCGUGUUCCUUUCUUCUUCCGCUCGCUCAAGCACGACGGAGCAUCGCCGUGGGGGAGUGAGCAGCAAGCCAUAGCCUAGCGGAGUCCUUCGCGCACGCCCAGAGUUCGCCCGUAGUAUGGGUAAGUAAAUCACAAACUAACAUAUUAGGAUAUUUAUAUCAAACUAAAAGUGAACAAUGAUAUUUUCCUUUUCCUGUUUGUCAUUGUGUUCAUCAGAUUUCGGUUUCUUUUUUUGUGGGAUCGAGUAUUAACCCAUGACUUAAGGUUUGAACAUUUUCAUCAUCCUGGCAAAGCCAAUUUGACUAUCACCUAAUGCAAUCAUUACUUCAAAUGUAAGACCCAACAUGCAUAUAAAAAUUGGGUAGAAAGUACAAUCUUGCAUACUGUAGACAUAAUAUGAAAGUACAAUGUUUUAUUAUUUAGUAGUGAGUAGCCAAUGGUUAAUAAAUUUGCACUUCUAGGUACAUAUAAAUUUUAUAGAUGUAGUGAAAGCAGAGGCAUUCACAUAGUUGCAAUAUAGAGGCUAAUUUUCAUCACAAGAGUGCAAAAAUGAUAUAGGAGCAAACAUUUUUCAAACAAGUGUCUUAUCACAAUAUGCUUUAAAACGUACUUCAUUAAAAUGUGUAGAUCGAAUGGAUAUGUAAUAUCAUGUCACUAAAAUUACACUUUUUUUAUUUUCGGAGCACACGUGGUCAUAUCUUUGCACAACAUGUCGUGUACUUUCUUGUGUGACCUUGUACUUGUUGUAGCACAAGAUUCCAUUAACUGUUUUUUUCCCACACUUUACACUGUGUAUACAAAAUCACUUUGCAAAUAUAGAGCAUGGGUGCCAUGUGUGGGCUCAAAAAUCUUGACAAAAUGUUAAAGCAACUCUUACGUAACCCCCAUUUUCGCAAGCAAGAAGUGGCAGAGUUCGAGCACAGUUGCAGGAAGCAGCGACGAUCACCGAAAAUGGGGGAGAGUUGUGUUUCUCCCCAUACAUGGGGGUGGAAUGAGGUGGGACGGGAAAUAUCAACGAAAAAGUUGGUUACAUGAAUGUAAGACAACAAAGGCUAUAACUAUGCCAAGGGGCCUCAGAGUGGUGGAAGAGCUGGGAUGCAAGCAUGUCAUAAUGGAGACAGAUUCCCUAGAGAUUAUACAAGCAUGCAAUCGAGUAACCGAAGUGUGAAGUUCCUAUACGACAAUUCUUGCAGACUGUUUUCGGAGGGUUCAUAGAAAUCGGCUCAAUGAUUUUCACUCGCUGCCUUAGGGAAGCUAAUCUGAUGUCACAUAAUAUUUUCAGAUGUGUGCAUGACUCAAAAGCAGGCCCGAGCCCAUGGGUGUGCCCAAGGUUGUCAGAAUCGUGAUUUUGAAUCGGAUCGGAGCUCCAAUGGUAGGAUCGCAAAUCGUAGAAUCUUCACUAUUAGGAUCGUAGAAACGUAGAUUCUAUGAAGUAAAAUCGUAGAAUCAUAGGGGUUAGUUUGGAUCAUAAAGUCGUAGAAUCGUAUAACAGAAUCGCGAUUCUGACAACCUUGGGUGUGCCACCUGUGCGCCCGCACAGGGCCUCCACUUUCCAGGGGCCCCGAUUUUCGAAACUGCAGCCCACUGCACACGAGCGGGCCCAGUGGCUGGCUGGCAGCUUAAUUCACUUUUGGGCUGUGCAUGCAAUGUGCGAGAUGAAGUAGCCAGCAGGCCACCGAUUCGAUUCAACAGCCCAUAGUCCCCUGUCAAACCGUUCGUUUCGAGGAGAUCCAAACCUCCGGCGACCACGCUGCAGUGGCGGCUCGUGAUCUUCUUUUCCUCUCUUCCUCCGCGAUGCUGAUCGAGUCAUCAGUCAGGACGACACCACCAAAAACUUCUUCUUCCUCCUCGAACACGUGACGAAGGCAUCCCAAAGAUCACAAUUUUUUUAUUCUACUAGGUUUGUUCGUUUUUCUCCCUACUCUCCAUCUGAUUCCAUAGUAUUGCUCCCUUAGUUCUCCCCUAAUCCUCAUAUUCAAUACGUUUUAGAGAGAGUUCAAGAAGGUGGGCAGCGGAAAGGGAUUGUUGGCAGCCACAUCUUUUGGGGCUGUCCAACUCUCCAAAGGCAAGGUCCCGUGGGAUUUGGAUUCGUGUUAUUAAGGCAUGGUUUUAUUCUUGCAGCAACAGCACAACAGGACAUAGGCGACAGACCUAGUCUUGAUCCUUCAGGUGCUUUUAUUUCAACUUCAUUUUAUAAGUUGCGUAUUUUCAGUGUCAUCUUUCAUACUAAGAUACCAUGUACAAAGUAAUGUCUGGGUACAGAAAGAAAAUGUACCAGCUGUUUGCUUCAAUUCAACAUUGUCAUAAUAAGAUGAUGAGUAGUUUCCAUCCGGUUAUUAUAUAGUAUAACUUAUGAGAAAAGAUAAUAUUUAUAUGAUAUGUUCAAUAUUGUAGUUGUUACUGAAAUAUAAGCAAGCCUUCUAAAAAUAUAUAUGUGGAGAGGCCUCAUUUUAUCAAAUUGACAGAGAGGCUCACACGUGUCAAGACUAGGCCUAGAUAUACUAUUGCUAGUUUUAUAAAGAUAGGCCUCAUUUUAAAGUUUGGCACAGGGUUCCUGAUUUUGCCGGCUCAGCCCUGCUCAAAAGUAGUGGUGGGUGGAACAUCAAUUCUCCUAGCUUUGUUUUACCGGACAUUUUGUUCGAUACAACUGUCAUUUGAGCAUGAACAAAGUGCGCACAAGGCCAUUCCCUAAAAAAUGAGGAGUUGGUUAAAAUAAGUGUAUAUUUUAGCUUUUUCUAGUCUAAGUGUAUUUUUAGCUGCCCCCAGCCCGAAGUAGAGACGACAAGGAGAUGUGGCAAACAGCUAGAUUUUUUACACUUCGACAAAGAGAGGAAGACGGGACCAAUGCAUUUUUUUUGCCUACUCUUUACACUGUUUUUCUUUUUAGCGGAACCCUCCUCGUACCGGAUAGAAUGGGCCUUCACAAAGCAGAAGGUGAAGCCCAAAGAGGCCCUAACCAUCCAAACCCUCCCCCGAACCCUAGCCCACCAGUCUCUCCUAUAUAAGCUGAAGGUUCCUAACUUCACAAUGUAACCUAUCGGCCGACCAACUUCCUCCCCUUGCGCCGCCGUCCCCUCCCCCAUGAGCAGUUGAGCACGAUGCAUCUCUUCUUGUAGCCCCUGAGCUACAAGUUCGCUUGUUUUUGCUCGUCGUUUUCGCUCUUGCCUUUUAUUUUUGGCUCAAUCUUGUUGGCGGCUGUGAUGCGCAACGGUAAAGGGAUUUUCUGAGGGACGGGAACUUAGUUUUCCUCCUCCUGAUUGAGAGAAACCAAUGGAUCCUUCUGAGCCUGCCCAAUACACCAAUGUUUUACUGAUUUUUUACUGUUUCUUUUCUGCUUUCGGUUCUCCCUGGGAUGUUUUCUUGUAUCUUGCUUCAAAGGCGAUUAUUCUUUGCUUUGGUUGAGGUGAGGAUAAACCUGUACAGAAACUUGACUGUUGUGUUGACCAAAAUACAGACUACAAUUAUCUGAUCAACCGAAAAAAGUUAUUGCUUCUGUCUGCAUCUUCAUUUCUGUUUUGAAUCUGUGCCGUGCACAACAAGCCGAUGCUCUGGAUCGAGGGAGGAAGGAAGCAUGGUACUGUGCACGGAGAGUACCGAUACAGGUGGUCUGCAUAUGUCUGCUCGUCUUGACGCCUUCGGGCUUUGAUCUCGCGGGCCUGGAUUUGACCAACAUUCAUUUACUUGUUUGACUUCUUGAGAGGGAGACCUUGUUUGCUUGGUGCUCAUGGGAUUAUGUCUUUGGGAACGAUUGUGCUUGUUUGAUGUUGAAUCAAAGGCUGGCUUCGUCGCAAUAGUAACAAACGAAGAUUGUAUUUAUGUCCAACAGCAAACUUAAAACAGCAAGACAAAGUUUCUUGCAGCAAGCACUGCACUUUUUUUCAUUACUGGCACCACGUUCAUUUUUUGAUUAAAAUGAAACGAAUUCUAAACACAUAAAUAACUAUCCCACGCCCAAAUACAGAAAGCUAAUGGCUCCCUAAUAAAUUGUUAAUAAAAUGAAGCAAACAAUUUUGUUUCUGGAAUACAGCUUCCCACCGAUGGAUUUGGGCUUGCCUUAAGGGCAUGUACGAACGUGCCGGUUAAGCUGUCGUCAGAACUUACAUUGGACCGUAUCAAAUAUACAACCUUGACAUCUCAUGGUCACUUUUGACAUUCAUUAAUUAUAUCUCAUAAUUGAAAUAUUUAGUAAUUGCAACGUAAAUACAAUCUUGUCACAAUGGUCAUAUUGGUGAAAUAAUUAAUGUCAUCUUUGAUUGCACCAUGUUAUACAUAGCUUGAUUACAUCUAUUCAAAACACUCUACUCUUAGUAUUGUUUCUAGGAGGUGCAAGCUAUAAAACAGACAUUUGCUAAAUUCGUAACUCAAAUAUACUUUUCAACAAUCCAAUUGUAGAAACAUAGUUUUCUUGUUGCAAUAAUUUCUACUUUGUUUUUAGAAUUUUUUGAAACAUUUCAAAAGAUCUAGAUUUAUGUCUCAAUUAGUAAAUAUAAAUACCUACUUCGGUCAUCCUUGAAGAUAGAUAAAUCCUUUGGUUUUGUUCUUUAAGUUCUUACCAUCAACUCAUGACUGGAGUUCUUACGGAUCUUACAAAUUUUAGUCUCAAACAUAGUUGAAUGCUUCACUAGAACUUGCAAGCAAAUCACUUCUUUAGAUAAUAUAUAUCUUUUAACCUUUGUUUGUUUUUGAAAACAAUUUUUAGUUGCAAAAAUAUCACAUAACUAUUCCAAACAUUUUGAAAUUCAGGUUUCUUGGAAGCAAGUAAACCGUAAUGUAAUUCUUAGCCUUUUGGAUUGAAAGACGCAAGUAUCAUCAUCCAUAACAUUAGCAGGAGAACAUUGGAAGUAUGCAGUAAGGAAAAAUCCUUCUUGACACUCUUAAAGGACAAUCCUCUCAAUCAUAAAAGAUUCAACUAGAUAAAUAACAAUCAAUCAAUUUCAACAACAAAGGUGGAAUUGUGAGCCAUAAUUUUAUAAUUAUAUUGCAAACUACACAUAGACAUUGUUCAUAAUUAAUUUGCACUAGUGAUUAAACCUAAUUAAUACAUAAUUAUGCUCCCACUCAAAUCAAUAUAUCUCAUAAUUGAUAGUGAGUGACUGAAGAUCUAAAUCUAGUUCGUAGCCAUUGAUGACGAGAAUUUUGACCAAUGGGCAAACUUUUGCCGAUCAUAUCUCAAUAUCAAUCUUGUUCAUCUUUUGAUGCUUGAUUUUCCGAGCUCAGAACGAUUCUGUCAAAACUUCAAGAUAAUUGAGUACUAUCUGCAUGCAUUGUCUGACCAUCUUCGUCUUACACAUCUCAUCUCGUUUGUACUCAUGUGGGAUGUACUCUGAGAUGCUAGAAUGUCGUAGAUGGUUGCAACAACGGGAAGAGCACUUUUAAUUUUUAUUUUAGUUGUGAGAGAUUACCCUAAUAAUUGACUACUGCGCAAUCAAAGGGUGCGAACAAAAAAGGAAUAAACAUCUCAGGCAAUUCAUAAAAGUAUGAUAUGGUAUAGCCCUAGGCGCCGGGAAUCCUUCAUGCCCAUCUUCAAUCUUCAGUUGAAGCGUCGUGACGGCCAAUAUUUUGUUGUCGUGGCAACCGUUUUAAAAAUGCUGCUGUGGCGGCAAUUUUAGAAAACGUUGCCGUGGCGACCAUUUCAGAAAACGCUGUCAUGGUACCAAAUUUAACAAUUUUACCGUGGCACGGAAUUAUAGCUCCUCGUCCCUCCCCUUAGUACACCUUCUCCACUUCGGGGUCCUCCGUGUACGCUUGCCAUCGUCGCCUCUAACUUGUAGGGUAUCUCUAUGAUAUUUACAUUAACGUGGCAAUUUCGUUGCUCCAACCAUUAGUUAUGUGGUUAACCAGUUUUAACAAUAAUAUUAGCUACCUACGUCCACAACAUAAGACGAUAAUUCUUGAUGCUAGAUUAAGUUUCGGGGUGAGUGAAAGAAGAGACUUAAUUAAAAUCUCUAGUCCCAUACUAAACUUCGUCUAAUACGCAUGACCCCUUAGAAGAUCAUCCAUCUACGGCACUCUCUUGUGUACGCUGGUUCACUAUUCUCGACUAUGAUGAAGCUCUAAACUGUUAGCAAAGAAGAUCAUCCAUCUACGACACUCUCUUGUGUACGCUGGUUCACUAUUCUCGACUAUGAUGAAGCUCUAAACUGUUAGCAAAUCAUCGACAACCAGAGUUGAUCGAUUGUUAGAACCUUGUAGCAAAGCUACAUCAUACUAUCGAUGAAUUGAACCGAAGCAACACUCGAGGGAAGCAUGGCAAGGACAUCAAACUCUCACAUCCACAUGUGAUCUAGAUUGCAACCUGCAUCUACUGAGCAUCUCCAACAGGCGCCGGUCGCGCCGCGCGCAAAAAACAGAUAUGCCACGCGCGCAUCGCCUGGUUUGGCGCGGUGCGCAGCGCUGGCUCCAGCAGCCGCGCUAAAAUGCAGCGCGCGUGCGCCGCUCCAGCAGCGCGCAAAAAUGCAGCGCGCGCGACUCGCCGGUGCAUUGCAUAUGGCAUUUUUAACAUAAAAUGAUAAACAUUUUCAACACAAUAAAAAUUGCACACAAACAAGUUGAUGAAGUUCAUGCCCACAAGUUUAAAAUCAUGCCCACAAGUUCAUCCAACCAAGUUUAAAAUGCAAAUCAAGUUCAAUACACAAAUGAAAGACACAUCAUUCCUUGUCCUCGUCCUCGUCUUCAUCCUCGUCCUCAUCUUCGGAAGACGAUGCUUCCGCCUCCGAAGAGGAAUCUUCCUCCCUCUCCUCAUCGCGCACCGCAUCACGUGAAGCUCCGACGAUGUUGGCAAGAUCUUCAACGACAUCUUCAUGGGAAUGUGUGCGAGGAGGCACAUCAAAAGACAUUCCGCCCAUGGCGGCCGAAGGUGCACCCAUGCCUCCCAUGGUGGCCAUAGCGUCGGGGGGUGCUCCAAAGCCAGUCAUGCCUCCCAUUGCACCUAAACCGCCCACGGUACCUCCGAAGCCACCCACGCCACCCAUGGCGCCGAGGCCACCGCCACCCAUUGCAUGAACGAUGGCUCUUUUUUGGAUCAAGACUUCUUCUUGGACAAGAUUGACAUACUCCUUUUGCGCCGCAUUGAGGUUAGUUGUGUCCAAGAAGAACAAGUGCUUCUCCCAUUCCAACAAUCUAGUUUGCUCCUCAUUGCUCACCUUCCUCUCCUCCAAAGCCACCUUCCUCUCCUCGGCCACCACCCUCCUCUCCUCGGCCGCCAACCUUCUCUCCUCGGUCGCGGCAUCUUGGGUCCUUGCCAUUUUCCUCACCUCAUUGGCUUCUUUUCUUGCCUUCACAAUAGCUUCCAUAGCAUUUUUGAGCUCAUCAUCUCCUUUCCUCUUCUUCUUUUCGGUUUUGUCUUUCUUGCACCCAUCCGGUCGCUUUGGCUUCGAGUAUGAAACCGAGUUGGGUGCGGGGCUUCUCUUGCCGUCAUCACUUGAUGCAUCAUCCUCAUCAUCAUCAUCAUCCAACUUAAUUGUUCGCUUCCGUUUGUCGCUCAAAUGCAAAUCAUCCAAAUCUUCACGCUUCUUCCAUUUCUCAUCAUCCUUCAACACUUCAUAGCAAUGAGGCAAAGUAAAUACCCUUCCUUUCUUGAUCUUCCCCUUCUUGGUUUUCCUCUCCUCUUCUUUGAACAAGUUUUGCGCAAUGUUGUACUACAUGAAAACAAAGCAAGUUAGCACCAACAACAAGCAAAACAAAGCAAGUUAGCACCAACAUGUAAGAUGAAAUGGCACUUACUCUAUCGUCCUCAUUUGUGCCACUUGGGUUCAACUUGUCAACCUCCUUUUGACAGGCCGCCCACCUUUGACAAUCCGAGUUGAUUAUCGACCACCGGGACCUAAGUGAUCGGUUGGAGCGGUCAAUUCCACUCAUGUUGCGAGCAUCAAAGUGUUCCUUCAUCCGGUUCCAAUAAGCAUCUCUACUUUGAUCACCUCCAACGGAUGGAUCCCUCGACACUUGCAACCAAGUAUUGCAUAGUAAGAUGUCAUCGGCGUUGGUGUAAUUGCCCGCUCUUCCUUUCGGUGCGUCAACAAUGCCCUCACCCUCCUCGUCCACCUCGAACUCAUGGUCUUCAAAAUGCAUGUCAUUGGUUUGAGACCAAUGCGAAUUGUUGGAGCCAACACCCAUCGUUGACAUGUAUGCAUCAUCAUUGAGACUACAAUUUUUUUGCACAAUGCAAAUAAGCUAUCUAUAUGUGACGAAUGCAUUCAAAAAUAACAAAAAAAAUGAAAAGUUAGAUUUUUUUACCUUGGAGGCAUUUCAUCGAACAUGUUGUGCGCGUCGGCCGCCGGCUCAAGGAGUGAGCUUGCCGGCGCUUCGGCAGCCGUCGCGCCUGUCGCACGCCCCGCAAGCUUCUUCCUCGCCUUGGAGGUGCGGAGCCGUCCGCCACCUUGUUUUUCUUCGCCGAUGUCUUGCCCUUUGGCCGCGCCGCAUUAGGGAGCUUUGAGGAGGAGGGGGCGGCGGCUCGGGCCGGCGCCGGCGCGACGCCACCCGCCGCCGAGGUCAUCCGCGGCGACAUGAAGAGGCCACGCGCGAGGCCGCUGGUCGGAGGAGCUCUGGCAGAGGCGAGGCCAACGCCACCCGGGCUAGGGUUUGUGGCGGCGGCGACGGGGGCGGGGGGGUCGCGGCUAUAGGACGGGGUGAGCGGGGUGCCAGCGCAUGCGUCCAUGGGUGCGGGUUGCCGGCGCCGGCGCGCGCGGGGCUUUGGAGGGGGAGAAGAAGAGCGCAGCGCGAGCGUCGAGUGUGCCGCGCGCGGAAGCGGGCGCCGCAAAUACACCGCGCGAGGUACUGCUUCCUGCCGCGCGCCCAACUGGUUAUACCGCGCGCGCGGUUAUUGCGCGCCCGCUGGAGCCAUCCGCCAGGUUGCGCGCGCUAAAGUGGGUCUAUUUACGGCGCGGCGCCUGUUUAGCGCGCCUGUUGGAGAUGCUCUCAUAUAACUAGUCAUGAUGCCAUUGUUGGGAAACAUAGUAAGAAAGCAAAAUAAAAUCACGCCUAUGCACACGUGAUACGUCUCCAAUGUAUCUAUAAUUUAUGAAGUAUUCAUGCCAUGUUUACAAUAGUUUCAUAUGGUUUUGUUGCACUUUUAUAUUAUUUUUAUGGACUGACUUGCCUAGUGCUAGUUCCUGGUUUUUUUGCAUGUUUAUUGUUUCACAUAAAAUCCAUACCGAACGAAGUUCAAACACGAUAAAAAUUUACAAGAUUUUUUAUGGAAUAUAUGUGUUUUUUGGGAGGAAGAAUCAACGCAAGGCGGUGCUCGAGGGCCCCACAAGGCAAUAGGGCGUGAUCUACCUCCUAGCUGCGCUGGGAUGCCUUGUGGGCACCUUGUAAGUCGGUUGGAGUCCUUAAUUUGCCGCAAGAAAGAUAAUUUCUGGAUAAAAACCCACUCAAAAUUUCAGCCUAAUUAGAGUUACAGAUCUCCGGGAAUAUAAGAAACAAUUUUUGCUAGAAAACAACAACGAAUAGAGAGAUUAAAUUUAGGGGAGAGGUCCCUCUCCCCCCGGAGGGCCAAGGAAGAAUAAGAAGGAGGGCCCCCCUUCUCCCUCUCCUCCAGUGGCACGGGGAUGCUGCAUGUCGUGGAAUUAUCAUGGCAGAUGUCCUAGUAGAAGGACUUAGUCGUGGAGCCAUUGCAACAGGGUUAGCUUAAAGGGGUUAAAUGAGACAAAGGACACAAGGAGUUUAUACUGGUUCGGCCCCUUGCAGUGAAGGUAAAGGCCUAAUCCGGUUUGAGGUGGUAUUGCUUAUGUCUCGAUUACCAGGGAGCGAAUACGCUUGACCUAGCUUAUGAUCUGUUGUUUCUUGCCCUAAGCUACCGCCUGAAGGAAAUAUGCCCUAGAGGCAAUAAUACAGUUAUUAUUUAUUUCCUUAUUUCAUGAUAAAUGUUUAUUAUUCAUGCUAGAAUUGUAUUAACCGGAAACAUAAUACAUGUGUGAAUACAUAGACAAACAAAGUGUCACUAGUAUGCCUCUACUUGACUAGCUCGUUAAUCAAAGAUGGUUAUGUUUCCUAACCAUAGACAGGUGUUGUCAUUUGAUUAACGGGAUCACAUCAUUAGGAGAAUGAUGUGAUUGACUUGACCCAUUCCGUUAGCUUAGCACUCGAUCGUUUAGUAUGUUGCUAUUGCUUUCUUCAUGACUUAUACAUGUUCCUAUGACUAUGAGAUUAUGCAACUCCCGUUUGCCGGAGGAACACUUUGUGUGCUACCAAACGUCACAACGUAACUGGGUGAUUAUAAAGGAGCUCUACAGGUGUCUCCAAAGGUACAUGUUGGGUUGGCAUAUUUCGAGAUUAGGAUUUGUCACUUCGAUUGUCGGAGAGGUAUCUCUGGGCCCUCUCGGUAAUGCACAUCACAUAAGCCUUGCAAGCAUUGCAACUAAUGAGUUAGUUGCGAGAUGAUGUAUUAAGGAACGAGUAAAGAGACCUGCCGAUAACGAGAUUGAACUAGGUAUUGAGAUACCGACGAUCGAAUCUCGGGCAAGUAACAUACCAAUGACAAAGGGAACAACGUAUGUUGUUAUGCGGUCUAACCGAUAAAGAUCUUCGUAGAAUAUGUGGGAGCCAAUAUGAGCAUCCAGGUUCCGCUAUUGGUUAUUGACUGGAGACGUGUCUCGGUCAUGUCUACAUUGUUCUCGAACCCGUAGGGUCCGCACGCUUAAGGUUUCGAUGACAGUUAUAUUAUGAGUUUAUGAGUUUUGAUGUACCGAAGUUAGUUCGAAGUCUCGGGUAUGAUCACGGACAUAACGAGGAGUCUCGAAAUGGUCGAGACAUAAAGAUUGAUAUAUUGGACGACUAUAUUCGGACACCGGAAGUGUUCUGGGGAAGUUUCGGAUAAAACCGGAGUACCGGGGGGUUACCGAAACCCCCCGGGAGGUUAAUGGGCCUCAUGGGCCUAAAGUGGAGAAGAGGAAAGGCAGCCAGGGCAGGCCACGCGCCCCCUCUCCCCCUAGUCCGAAUUAGACAAGGAGGAAGGGGCGGCGCCCCCCCCCUUUCCUUCCUCUCCUCUCUCCCUUCCUUCCCCCUCUCCUACUUGGACAAGGAAAGGGAGGGGAGUCCUACUCCCGGUAGGAGUAGGACUCCUCCUGCGCGCCUCCUACUAGGGCCGGCCGCACCCCCCCUUGGCUCCUUUAUAUACGGAGGCAGGGGGCACCCCUAGACACACAAGUUGAUCUUCGUGAUCGUUCUCUUAGCCGUGUGCGGUGCCCCCCUCCACCAUACUCCUCGAUAAUAUUGUAGCGGUGCUUAGGCGAAGCCCUGCGACGGUAGAACAUCAAGAUCGUCACCACGCCGUUGUGCUGGCGGAACUCUUCCCCGACACUUUGCUGGAUCGGAGUCCGGGGAUCAUCAUCGAGCUGAACGUGUGCUAGAACUCGGAGGUGCCGUAGUUUCAGUGUUUGAUCGGUCGGAUCGUGAAGAAGUACGACUACAUCAACCGCGUUGAUAUAACGCUUCCCCUUUCGGUCUACGAGGGUACGUGGACAACACUCUCCCCUCUCGUUGCUAUGCAUCACCAUGAUCUUGCGUGUGCGUAGGAAAAUUUUGAAAUUACUACAUUCUCCAACAGUGGUAUCAGAGCCUAGGUUUUAUGUGUUGAUGUUAUAUGCACGAGUAGAACACAAGUGAGUUGUGGGCGAUAUAAGUCAUACUGCUUACCAGCAUGUCAUACUUUGGUUCGGCGGUAUUGUUGGAUGAAGCGGCCUGGACCGACAUUACGCGUACGCUUACGCGAGACUGGUUCUACCGAUGUGCUUUGCACACAGGUGGCUGGCGGGUGUCAGUUUCUCCAACUUUAGUUGAACCCCGGUCCUUGCGAAGGUUAAAACAGCACCAACUUGACGAACUAUCAUUGUGGUUUUGAUGCGUAGGUAAGAACGGUUCUUGCUAAGCCCAGUAGCAGCCACGUAAAACUUGCAACAACAAAGUAGAGGACGUCUAACUUGUUUUUGCAGGGCGUGUUGUGAUGUGAUAUGGUCAAGACGUGAUGAGAUAUAAGUUGUUGUAUGAGAUGAUCAUGUUUUGUUGAAGUUAUCGGCAACUGGCAAAAUUCUUAUGGUUCUCUCUCUAUUGCAUAAGAUGCAAGUGCCCAAUAAUUGCUUUACUUUAUCGCUAUGCGAUAGCAAUAGUUGCAAGAGCAAUUGUUGGCGAGACAACCAUGUGACGACACAUUGAUAUAGAUCAAGAUGAUGGAGAUCAUGGUGUCAUGUCGGUGACGAUAUAGUUCAUGACAGUACUUUGGAGAUGGAGAUCAAAGGCGCAAGAUGAUGAUGGCCAUAUCAUGUCACAUACUUUGAUUGCAUAUGAUGUUUAUCUUUUUACAUCUUAUCUUGCUUUGAUUGACGGUAGCAUUAUAAGAUGAUCUCUCACUAAAUUUCAAGAUAAAAGUGUCCUCCCUGAGUAUGCACCGUUGCCAAAGUUCGUCGUGCCCAGACACCACAUGAUGAUCGGGUGUGAUAAGCUCUACGUCCAUCUACAACGGGUGCAAGCCAGUUUUGCACACACGGAAUACUCAGGUUAAACUUGACGAGCCUAGCGUAUGCAGAUAUGGCCUCGGAACACGGAGACCGAAAGGUCAAGCGUGAAUCAUAUAGUAGAUAUGAUCAACAUAGUGAUGUUCACCAUUGAAACUAGUCCAUCUCACGUGAUGAUCGAACAUGGUUUAGUUGAUUUGGAUCACGUGAUCAUUUAGAGGAUUAGAGGGAUGUCUAUCUAAGUGAGAGUUCUUAAGUAAUACGAUUAAUUGAACUUUAAUUUAUCAUGAACUUAGUCCUGGUAGUAUUAGCAUAUCUAUGUUGUAGAUCAAUAGCUCGCGUUAUUGCUUUCAUAUGUUUAUUUUGAUAUGUUCCUAGAGAAAAUUGUGUUGAAAGAUGUUAGUAGCAAUGAUGCGGAUUGGAUCCGUGAUCUGGGGUUUAUCCUCAUUGCUGUACAGAAGAAUUAUGUCCUUGAUGCAUCGCUAGGUGACAGACCUAUUGCAGGAGAAGAUGCAGACGUUAUGAACGUUUGGCUAGCUCAAUAUGAUGACUACUUGAUAGUUUAGUGCACCAUGCUUAACAGCUUAGAAUCGGGACUUCAAAGACGUUUUGAACGUCAUGGACCAUAUGAGAUGUUCCAGGAGUUGAAGUUAAUAUUUCAAGCAAAUACCCGAGUUGAGAGAUAUGAAGUUUCCAACAAUUUCUAUAGCUAAAAGAUGGAGGAGAAUCGCUCAACUAGUGAGCAUGUGCUCAGAUUGUCUGGGUACUACAAUCGCUUGAAUCAAGUGGGAGUUAAUCUUCCAGAUAAGAUAGUGAUUGACAGAAUUCUCUAGUCACCAUCACCAAGUUAGUAGAAAUUUGUGAUGAACUAUAGUAUGCAAGGGAUGACGAAAACGACUCCCGAGCUUUUCAUGAUGAUGAAAUCGAUGAAGGUAUAAAUCAAGAAAGAGCAUCAAGUGUUGAUGGUUGACAAGACCACUAGUUUCAAGAAAAGGGCAAAGGGAAGAAGGGGAACUUCAAGAAGAACGGCAAGCAAGUUGCUGCUCAAGUGAAGAAGCCCAAGUCUGGUCCUAAGCCUGAGACUAAAUGCUUAUACUGCAAAGGGACUGGUCACUGGAAGCGGAACUACCCCAAGUGAUUGGCGGAUAAGAAGGAUGGCAAAGUGAACAUAAGUAUAUUUGAUAUACAUGUUAUUGAUGUGUACUUUACUAGUGUUUAUAGCAACCCCUCAGUAUUUGAUACUAGUUCAGUUACUAUGAUUAGUAACUUGAAUCGGGAGUUACAGAAUGAACAAAGACUAGUUAAAGGGUGAGGUGACGAUGUGUGUUGGAAGUAGUUCCAAGAUUGAUAUGAUCAUCAUCGCACACUCCCUAUACUUUCGGGAUUAGUGUUGAACCUAAAUAAGUGUUAUUUGGUGUUUGCGUUGAGCAUAAAUAUGAUUUGAUCAUGUUUAUUGCAAUACGGUUAUUCAUUUAAGUAAGAGAAUAAAUUGUUGUUCUGUUUACAUGAAUAAAACCUUAUAUGGUUACACACCCAAUGAAAAUGGUUCGUUGGAUCUCGAUCGUAGUGAUACACAUAUUCAUAAUAUUGAAACCAAAAGAUGCAAAGUUAAUAAUGAUAGUGCAACUUAUUUGUGGCACUGCCGUUUAGGUCAUAUUGGUGUAAAACGCAUGAAGAAACUCCAUGCUGAUGGACUUUUGGAAUCACUUGAUGCUUGCGAACCAUGCCUCAUGGGCAAGAUGACUAAGACUCUGUUCUCUGGAACAAUGGAGCGAGCAACUGACUUAUUGGAAAUAAUACAUACUGAUGUAUGCGGUCCGAUGAGUGUUAAGGCUCACGGCAAGUAUCGUUAUUUUUUGAUCUUCACAGAUGAUUUGAGCCGAUAUGAGUAUAUCUACUUAAUGAAACACAAGUUUGAAAUAUUUGAAAAGUUCAAAGAAUUUCAGAGUGAAGUGGAGAAUCAUCGUAACAAGAAAAUAAAAGUUUCUACGAUAUGAUCGCAGAGGUAAAAAUAUUUGAGUUACAAGUUUGGCCUUCAGUUAAAACAAUGUGAAAUAGUUUCACUACUCACGCCACCUGGAACACCACAGUAUAAUGGUGUGUCCAAACGUCAAAACCGUGCUUUAUUAGAUAUGGUGCGAUCUAUGAUGUCUCUUACCGAUUACCACUAUCGUUUUGGGGUUAUGCAUUAGAGACAGCUACAUUCACGUUAAAUAGGGCACCAUCUAAAUCCGUUGAGACGACACCGUAUGAAAUGUGGUUUGGCGAGAAACCUAAGCUGUCGUUUCUUAAAGUUUGGGACUGUGAUGCUUAUGUGAAAAAGUUUCAACUUGAUAAGGUUGAACCCAAAUCGAAGAAAUGUGUCUUCAUAGGAUACCCAAAAGAGACUGUUGGGUACACCUUCUAUCAAAGAUCCAAAGGCAAGACAUUUGUCGCUAAGAAUGGAUCCUUUCUGGAGAAGGAGUUUCUCUCGAAAGAAGUGAGUGGGAGGAAAGUAGAACUUGAUGAGGUAACUGUACCUGUUCCCUUAUUGGAAAGUAGUACAUCGCAGAAACAGGUUUCUGUGACACCUACACCAAUUAGUGAGGAAGCUAAUGAUAAUGAUCAUGAAACUUUAGAACAAGUUACUACUGAACCUCAUAGAUCAACCAGAGUAAGAUCCGCACCAGAGUGGUACGGUAAUCCUGUUCUGGAUUACCUGCUACUAGAUCAUGAUGAACCUGCGAACUAUGAAGAAGCGAUGGUGAGCCCAGAUUCCGCAAAAUGGCUCGAAGCCAUGAAAUCUGAGAUGGGAUCCAUGUAUGAAAACAAAGUAUGGACUUUGGUUGACUUGCCCAAUGAUCGGCAAGCAAUUGAGAAUAAAUGGAUCUUCAAGAAGAAGACUGACGCUGACGGUAAUGUUACUGUCUACAAAGCUCGACUUGUCGCAAAAGGUUUUCGACAAGUUCAAGGGAUUGACUACGAUGAGACCUUCUCACCCGUAGCGAUGCUUAAGUCUGUCCGAAUCAUGUUAGCAAUUGCCGCAUUUUAUGAAAUCUGGCAAAUGGAUAAACAAAACUGCAUUCCUUAAUGGAUUUAUUAAAUAAGAGUUGUAUAUGAUACAACCAGAAGGUUUUGUCAAUCCUAAAGGUGCUAACAAAAUGUGCAAGCUCCAGCGAUCCAUCUAUGGACUGGUGCAAGCAUCUCGGAGUUGGAAUAUGCGCUUUGAUGAGAUGAUCAAAGCAUAUAGUUUUAUACAGACUUGCGGUGAAGCCUGUAUUUACAAGAAAGUGAGUGGGAGCACUACAACAUUUCUGAUAAGUAUAUGUGAAUGACAUAUUGUUGAUCAAAAAUAAUGUAGAAUUAUUCUGCAAAGCAUAAAUGAGUGUUUUGAAAGGAGUUUUUCAAAGAAAGACCUCGGUGAAGCUGCUUACAUAUUGAGCAUCAAGAUCUAUAGAGAUAGAUCAAGGUGCUUGAUAAGUUUUUCAAUGAGUACAUACCUUGACAAUAUUUUGAAGUAGUUCAAAAUGGAACAGUCAAAGAAAGAGUUCUUGCCUGUGUUACAAGGUGUGAAGUUGAGUAAGACUCAAAGCCCGACCACGGCAGAAGAUAGAAAGAGAAUGAAAGUCAUUCCCUAUGCCUCAGCCAUAGGUUCUAUAAAGUAUGCCAUGCUAUGUACCAGAUCUAUUGUAUACCCUACACUAUUUUUUGGCAAGGGAGUACAAUAGUGAUCUAGGAGUAGAUCACUAUACAUCGGUCAAAAUUAUCCUUAGUGGAAUAAGGAUAUGUUUCUCGAUUAUGGAGGUGACAAAAGGUUCGUCGUAAAAGGAUUACGUCGAUACAAGUUUUUGGCACUGAUGCGGAUGACUCUAAGUCUUCAUCUGGAUACAUAUUGAAAGUGGGAGCAAUUAGCUAAAGUAGCUUUGUGCAGAGCAUUGUAGACAUAGAAAUUUGCAAAAUACAUACGGAUCUAAAUUUUGGCAGACUCGUUGACUAAGCAUCUCUCACAAGCAAAACAUGAUCACACCUUAGUACUCUUUGGGUGUUAAUCACAUAUAGAUGUGAACUAGAUUACUGACUCUAGUAAACCCUUUGAGUGUUGGUCACAUGACGAUGUGAACUAUGUGUGUUAAUCACAUGGUGAUAUGAACUAUUAAUGUUAAAUCACAUGGCGGUGUGAUCUAGAUUAUUGACUCUAGUGCAAGUGGGAGACUGAAGGAAAUAUGCCCUAGAGGCAAUAAUAAAGUUAUUAUUUAUUUCCUUAUUUCAUGAUAAAUGUUUAUUAUUCAUGCUAGAAUUGUAUUAACCGGAAACAUAAUACAUGUGUGAAUACAUAGGCAAACAAAGUGUCACUAGUAUGCCUCUACUUGACUAGCUCGUUAAUCAAAGAUGGUUAUGUUUCCUAACCAUAGACAGGUGUUGUCAUUUGAUUAACGGGAUCACAUCAUUAGGAGAAUGAUGUGAUUGACUUGACCCAUUCCGUUAGCUUAGCACUCGAUCGUUUAGUAUGUUGCUAUUGCUUUCUUCAUGACUUAUACAUGUUCCUAUGACUAUGAGAUUAUGCAACUCCUGUUUGCCGGAGGAACACUUUGUGUGCUACCAAACGUCACAACGUAACUGGGUGAUUAUAAAGGAGCUCUACAGGUGUCUCCAAAGGUACAUGUUGGGUUGGCGUAUUUCGAGAUUAGGAUUUUUCACUCCGAUUAUCGGAGAGGUAUCUCUGGGCCCUCUCGGUAAUGCACAUCACAUAAGCCUUGCAAACAUUGCAACUAAUGAGUUAGUUGCGAGAUGAUGUAUUAAGGAAUGAGUAAAGAGACUUGCCGGUAACGAGAUUGAACUAGGUAUUGAGAUACCGACGAUCGAAUCUCGGUCAAGUAACAUAUCGAUGACAAAGGGAACAACGUAUGUUGUUAUGCGGUCUGACCGAUAAAGAUCUUCGUAGAAUAUGUGGGAGCCAAUAUUAGCAUCUAGGUUCCGCUAUUGGUUAUUGACCGGAGACGUGUCUCGGUCAUGUCUACAUUGUUCUCGAACCCGUAGGGUCCGCAUGCUUAAGGUUUCGAUGACAGUUAUAUUAUGAGUUUAUGAGUUUUGAUGUACCGAAGUUAGUUCGGAGUCUCAGAUAUGAUCACGGACAUAACGAGGAGUCUCGAAAUGGUCGAGACAUAAAGAUUGAUAUAUUGGACGGCUAUAUUCGGACACCGGAAGUGUUCCGAGGAAGUUUCCGAUAAAACCGGAGUACCGGGGGGUUACCGGAACCCCCCGGGGGGGUUAAUGGGCCUCAUGGGCCUAAAGUGGAGAAGAGCAGCCAGGGCAGGCCGCACGCCCCCUCUCCCCCUAGUCCGAAUUGGACAAGGAGGGAGGGGCGGCGCCCCCCUUUCCUUCCUCUCCUCUCUCCCUUCCUCCCCCCUCUCCUACUUGGACAAGGAAAGGGAGGGGAGUCCUACUCCCGGUAGGAGUAGGACUCCUCCUGCGCGCCUCCUACUAGGGCCGGCCGCACCCCCCUUGGCUCCUUUAUAUACUGAGGCAGGGGGCACCCCUAGACACACAAGUUGAUCUUCAUGAUCGUUCUCUUAGCCGUGUGCGAUGCCCCCCUCCACCAUACUCCUUGAUAAUAUUGUAGCGGUGCUUAGGCAAAGCCCUGCGACGGUAGAACAUCACGAUCGUCACCACGUCGUCGUGCUGACGGAACUCUUCCCCGACACUUUGCUGGAUCGGAGUCCGGGGAUCAUCAUCGAGCUGAACGUGUGCUAGAAAUCGGAGGUGCCGUAGUUUCGGUGCUUGAUCGAUCGGAUCGUGAAGAAGUACGACUACAUCAACCGCGUUUAUAUAACGCUUCCGCUUUCGGUCUACGAGGGUACGUGGACAACACUCUCCCCUCUUGUUGCUAUGCAUCACCAUGAUCUUGCGUGUGCGUAGGAAAAUUUUGAAAUUACUACGUUCCCCAACACCGCUGGGUCGUCCCUUUUAUAUACAUAGGUCGACGCCCAACGGCUUACAGAGUCACGGCCGGCUCAUAAACAACGUGUCCGGUCGGGGACAUCUCCUCCGUCACCAUCAUCACCAACUUUUUCUUCGUUCUCGUAGUGAUGUGUGAGUAGUUCACCCCCGAGGCUAAGGGUAUGUACUGGUAGCUAUGUGUUUGAUCUCUCUAUCUCUCUCUUGUGUUCUUGAUUUGACACGAUCUUGAUGUAUCAUAAGCUAUGUUAAUAUAGUUGGAUCAUAUGGUGUUCUUCCCUCUCUAUCUUGUUGUGAUGAAUUGAGUCUUUCCCUUCAAGGUUUCGUUAUUACUAAAUUGAAUAUUGGAUUUGAGAUCACCUUUUCUAUGUCUUGCAUGCGGAUACCCAUGGUGACAAUGGGGUAUUCAAUUGAGUCACUUGCAGAUUCCCGUGGUGACAUUGGGGUAAUCUAGGCAUAGGGGUUGAUACACAUUUUCGUCCUACUUUCUCCGAUAGAAACUUUGAGGUACUCUUUGAAGUUCUUGUGUUAGAUUGAAUAUUAUGAAUUUGAAAUUAUUUGGUGUUAUUGUAGUAUGAACUCUAGGCUGUUUGUGACACUUAUAGGUAUGGCUCAAUAGAUUGAUCGGAAAGAUAACUUUGAGGUGGUUCGUUGAUACGUCUCCAAUGUAUCUAUAAUUUAUGAAGUAUUCAUGCUGUUAUAUCAUCAUUCUUGGAUGUUUUACAAUCAUUUUAUAGAAACUUUAUACCAUUUUUGGGACUGACCUAUUGACCUAGUGCCCAGUGCGAAACACCGCGAAACAGAGUCCAAACACCGCGAAACUUUUUGGAGAUUUUUUAUGGACCAGAACACCCAGGAUGGGUCAAAGAAGCACCUGGGGGGGUGCGUCAAGGGGGGCACAACCCACCAGGGCGCGCCUGGGGGCCCAGUCGCGACCAGGUGGGUUGUGCCCACCUCUGUGGCCUCACGCACCCCCUCUUUACCCUAUAAAUUCCCAAAAAUUCCAGAAACCCUCGGGGUUACACUAGAUCAGAAGUUUCGCCGCCGCAAGGCUCUGUAGCCACCAAAAACCAAUCUAGACCCCAUUCCGGCACCCUGACGGAGGGGGAAUCAUCACUGGUGGCCAUCUUCAUCAUCCCGGUGGCCACCACGAUGAGGAGGGAGUAGUUCACCCUCGGGGCUGAGGGUUUGUACAAGUAGCUAUGUGUUUAAUCUCUCUCUCUCUCUCUCUCUUGUUCUUGAGAUGUCACGAUCUUGAUGUAUCGCGGGCUUUGUUAAUAUAGUCGGAUUAUAUGGUGUUUUCCCCUUUAUCUUGUUGUGAUGAAUUGAGUUUUUUCCUUUGAGAUUUCGUUGUUAACGGAUUGAAUACUUCUAUGGAUUUGAGAACACUUGAUAUAUGUCUUGCAAUUGAAUACUCGUGGUGACAAUGGGGUAUUGUAUUGAUUCACUUGAUAUAUGUUUUGGCACUCAACUCGCGGAUUCCCGAGGUGACAUUGGGGUAAUCUAUGCAUAGGGGUUGAUGCACGUUCUUGUCUUUGUUUCUUCGAUAGAAAUCUUGGGGCACUCUUUGAAGUUAUUUGUGUUGGAUUGAAUAUUAUGAAUCUGAAUUUGCUUUGGUGUUAUUUUAGUACGAACUCUUAGUUAGAUCGAUCGGAAAGAAUAGCUUCGUGUUAUUUUAGUAUGAACUCUAGGAUAGAUUGAUCGAAAAGAAUAGCUUUGAGGUGGUUUCCUACCCUACAAACAAUUUAUUCUUAUGUUCUCCGCUAGAUAGGAACUUUGGAGUGAUUCUUCAUCGCAUUUUGAGGGGGUGGUUAUAUGAUCCAAUUAUAUUAGCACUGUUGAGAGAUUGCACUAGUGAAAGUACGGACUCUAGGCCUCAUUUUCAAGCAUUGCAAUACCGUUUUUGUGCCUGUUUACUAUUUUCUACCUUGAUGUUUUUAUUUAUUCAGAUUAUAAAAAUAUAUUUCUACCAUCCAUAUUACACUUUUAUCACCAUCUCUUUGUCGAACUAGUGCACCUAUACAAUUUGCCAUUGUAUUGGGUGUGUUGGGGACACAAGAGAUUUCUUGUAUUUGGUUGCAGGGUUGUUUGAGAGAGACCUUCUUCACCCUACACCUCUCACGGAUUGAUAAACCUUAGGUCAUCCACUUGAGGGAAAAUUGCUACUGUCCUACAAAACUCUAUGCUUGGAGGCCCAACACGUGUCUACAAGAAUAAAGUUGCCUAGUAGACAUCAUGCUCUUUUCUGGCGCCGUUGCCGGGGAGGUGAGUGCAUAAAGGUAUAUCUUUAGAUCUUGCAAUUGAAUCUUUUAGUUUCUUGUUUAUCACUAGUUUGGUCUAUAAAAUAAAAGUACAUAAAAAUGGAAUUGAGGUUGCAUCAUAUUAUUGAUCACCUUUAUAAUAUCUUCCUUGAAAAUGAUGAUUCGGAAAAUUGUGCUCAAUUGAUAGAAGAAGAAUUCAAUAGAAUGUUUGGUAUAAAUGAUGAGCAUGAUUGCAAUGUUAUUAGUAUGAAUUCUUUGAAUAUCCAUGAUGCUAAUGAUACGCAAAGCCAUAAGCUUGGGGAUGCUAUGUUUGAUGAAGAUGAUAUUUUUAGUCCCCCAAGAUUUGAUGUGCAAAUUUGUUAUAAUGAUUGCAUGCCUCCUAUUUAUGAUGAUUAUAAAGAAAGCGGCUUUGGAGAGGUCAUGACUUUAUUUAGUGAUGAAUCCACUAUUCCGGAAGAGGUUGCAAUUGACUAUGAAAACAAAGUUGCUAUUUAUGAUGAUUAUGGUGAUGACAUGUAUGCUAUAAAGAAUAAUGAUAAUCAUGAAACUUGUCAUCAUGAUUUUAAUUUUCAAUCACAUGAUAGUUAUUUUUUUGAGUUUUCUCCCAUUACUAUUGAUGAGAAUAAAUUUGCUUAUGUGGAGAGUAAUAAAAUUUCCAUGCUUGUAGAUCAUGAAAAUAAUGCUUUAUUUGAUAGUUAUAUUGUUGAAUUCAUUCAUGAUGCUACUGAAAAUUAUUAUGAGAGAGGAACAUAUGCUUGUAGGUAUUGCAACAAUAUCAAGUUUCCUUUCUAUGUGUUGAAAAUCUUGAAGUCUUGCUUGCUUUGCCUUCCUAUGGUAGUUGAUUCUUGUUCCCAUAAAUUGUUUGCUCACAAAAUCCCUAUGCAUAGGAAGUGGGUUAGCCUUAAAUGUGUUUGUCAUGUGCUUCAUGAUGCUCUCUUGUUAUGUUUCAACUCUUAUCUUUUAUGCGAGCAUCAUUGAAAUUAUCAUGCCUAGCUAAAAGGCAUUAAAGAAAAGCGUUUGUUGGGAGACAAACCAACACUUUUACCUACUAUUUUUGUGUGUUCACAUGAUUAGGAUACUGUAGUAAUCAUUUUUAUUGCUUUUGUUUCAAUAAAGUGCCAAAUAAGACAUUUGGGAUGGCUUACGGUGAUAGUUGAUUUGAUCUUGCCAAAAAACAGAAACUUUUGCGCUCAGGAAACAAUUCUCAUUUUUAACAGAAGCGUGAUAAAAUGUUGAUUAUUUUCGCAGAAGAUUAAUAUACAAAUCACCCAGGUUUUCCUAUUUUUUCAGAAUUUUUGGAGUAAUAGAAGUAUGGUUGGAGUACAGAUUACUACAGACUGUUCUGUUUUGACAGAUUCUGUUUUCAAUGCAUAGUUUGCUUGUUUUCUAGUUUCUAUGGCUUAUAUUGGUCAAUAUAAAUUAUGGAAAUUAUAUUCUACAGUAGGCAUUGUGUGAGAAAAAUUAUGAAUCUUAUCUUUGACAAUACCAAAGUGAAAUGGUUUGCUCUUUAUCGUACUAACCUAUCUCACGAAGUUCCGUUAAGUUUUGUGUGAUUGAAGUUUUCAAGUUUUGGGUGAGAUGUCGAUAUGAGAAGCAUAAGGGGUGACAAGGCCCUAAGAUUGGGUAUGCCCAAGGCAUCCCAAGUUAAUAUCUAAGGAGGAUCCAUGCAACUAAGCUUGGGGAUGCCCCAGAAGGCAUCCCCUCUUUCGUCUCCAACAUUAUCGGUAACCUCACUCGGAGCUAUGUUUUCAUUCGUCACAUGAUAUGUGUUUUGUUUAUAAUUGAAGGAAAUAUGCCCUAGAGGCAAUAAUAAAGUUGUUAUUUAUAUUUCCUUAUAUCAUGAUAAAUGUUUAUUAUUCAUGCUAGAAUUGUAUUAACCGGAAACUUAGUACAUGUGUGAAUACAUAGACAAACAGAGUGUCACUAGUUUGCCUCUACUUGACUAGCUCGUUGAAUCAAUGAUGGUUAUGUUUCCUAACCAUAGACAUGAGUUGUCAUUUUAUUAACGGGAUCACAUCAUUAGAGAAAUAUUUGAUUGACUUGACCCAUCCGUUAGCUUAGCACGAUGAUCGUUUAGUUUGUUGCUAUUGCUUUCUCCAUAACUAUACAUGUUCCUAUGACUAUGAGAUCAUGCAACCCCCAAAUACCGGAGGAACACUUUGUGUGCUACCAAACGUCACAACGUAACUGGGUGAUUAUAAAGGUGCUCUACAGGUGUCUCUGAUGGUGUUUGUUGAGUUGGCAUGAAUCAAGAUUAGGAUUUGUCACUCCGUUUGUCGGAGAGGUAUCUCUGGGCCCUCUCGAUAAUGUACAUCACAAUAAGCCUUGAAAGCAAUGUAGCUAAUGAGUUAGUUACGGGAUGUAGCAUUACAUAACGAGUAUAGAGACUUGCCAGAAACAAGAUUGAACUAGGAAUUGAGAUACCGACGAUCGAAUCUCGGGCAAGUAACAUACCGAUGACAAAAGGAACAAAGUAUACCGUUAUGCGGUUUGACCGAUAAAGAUCUUCGUAGAAUAUGUAGGAGCCAAUAUGGGCAUCCAAGUUCCGCUAUUGUUUAUUGACCAGAGACAUGUCUCGGUCAUGUCUACAUAUUUCUCGAACCCAUAGGGUCCGCACGCUUAACGUUCGGCGACGAUCGAUAUUAUGAGUUUAUGUGUUUUGAUGUACCGAAGGUAGUUCGGAGUCCCGGAUUUGAUCACGGACAUGACGAGGAGUCUCAGAUUGGUCGAGGCAUAAAGAUCGAUAUAUUGGAAGCCUAUAUUUGGACAUCGAAAUGGUUCUGAGUGGUUCAGGCAUUUUUCUGGAGUACCGGGAGGUUACCGGAACCCCCCGGGGAGUAUAUGGGCCUUAUUGGGCCUUAGUGGAAUAGAGGAGAGGGAAGGGAAAAGAGGGAGGCGCGCCCCAAGCCCAAUCCAAAUUGGGAGGGGGCAGGCCCCCCUUUCCUUCAUCCCUCUCUCCUUCUUCCUUCCUCUCCUACUCCUACUUGGAAGGGGGGAAUUACUUCCCCAGGGCGCGCCAUAGAGAGUGCCGGCCCUCCCCCUCCUCCACUCCUUUAUAUAUAGGGGAGGGGGGGUACCCCAUAGACACACAAGUUGAUCAUUGAUCUUUUAGCCGUGUGCGGUGCCCCCCUCCACGAUAAUCCACCUCGGCUAUACCGUAGCGGUGCUUAGGUGAAGCCCUGUUCCGGUAGCAACAUCAUCACCGUCAUCACGCCGUCAUGCUGACGAAACUCUCCCUCGAAGCUCUUCUAGAUCGUGAGUUCGCGGGACAUCACCGAGCCGAACGUGCGCAGAUCACGGAGGUGCCGUACCUUCGGUGCUAGAUCGGUCAAUCAUAAAGACGUACGAUUGCAUCAACCGCGUUGUCAUAACGCUUCCUCUUACGGUCUACGAGGGUACGUAGACGAUACUGUCCCCUCUCAUUUCUAUGCAUCAUCAUAAUCUUGCAUGUGCGUAGGAAUUUUUUUGAAAUAAUCGUGUUCCCCAACAAUGGCAUCCAAGCCAGGUUUAUGCGUAGAUGUUAUAUGCACGAGUAGAACACAAAGGAGUUAUGGGCGUGGGUAUAUACAUAUUGCUUGCCGUCACUAGUUGAUUCUUGAUUCAGCGACAUUGUUGGAUGAAGCGGCCCAGACCGACAUUACACGUACGCUUAUGCAAGAUUGGUUCUACUGACGUGCUUCACACAAAGGUGGCUAGUGGGUGUCUGUUUCUCCAGCUUUAGUUGAAUCAGAUUCAAUGAACAGGGUUCUUUCCGAAGAUCAAAAAGAAAUCACUAUACCGCGUUGUGGUUUUUUUGAUGUGUAGGUAAGAACGGUUCUUGCUCAGCCCGUAGCAGCCACGUAAAACUUGCAACAACAAAGUAGAGGACGUCUAACCUAUUUUUGCAGGGCAUGUUGUGAUGUGAUAUGGUCAAGACAUGAUGCUAAAUUUUAUUGUAUGAGAUGAUCAUGUUUUGUAACACAGUUAUCGGCAACUGGCAGGAGCCAUAUGGUUGUCCCUUUAUUGUAUAAAAUGCAAUCGCCAUGUAAUUGCUUUACUUUAUCACUAAGCGGUUGUGAUGUUCACCAUUGAAAACUACUCCAUCUCACGUGAUAAUCGGACAUGGUUUAGUUGAUAUGGAUCACGUGAUCACUUAGAUGAUUAGAGAGAUGUCUAUCUAAGUGGGAGUUCUUAAGUAAUUUGAUUAAUUGAACUUUAAUUUAUCAUGAACUUAGUACCUAAUAGUAUUUUGCAUGUCUAUGUUGUUGUAGAUAGAUGGCCCGUGCUAUUGUUCCGUUGAAUUUUAAUGUGUUCCUAGAGAAAGCAAAGUUGAAAGAUGAUGGUAGCAACUACACGGACUGGGUCCGUAACUUGAGGAUUAUCCUCAUUGCUGCACCCGGCAGAGCAAAGCUCAUGACUACUCGAUAGUUCAGUGUGCCAUGCUUUAUAGCUUAGAACCGGGACUUCAACGACGUUUUGAACGUCAUGGAGCAUAUGAGAUGUUCCAGGAGUUGAAGUUAAUAUUUCAAGCAAAUGCCCGGAUUGAGAGAUAUGAAGUCUCCAAUAAGUUCUACAGUUGCAAGAUGGAGGAGAAUAGUUCUGUCAGUGAACAUAUACUCAGAAUGUCUGGGUACCACAACCACUUGACUCAACUGGGAGUUAAUCUUCUUGAUGAUAGUGUCAUUGACAGAGUUCUUCAAUCACUGCCACCAAGCUACAAGAGCUUCGUGAUGAACUAUAAUAUGCAAGGGAUGGAUAAGACGAUUCCCGAGCUCUUCACAAUGCUAAAGGCUGCGGAGGUAGAAAUCAAGAAGGAACAUCAAGUGUUGAUGGUUAACAAGACCACCAGCUCCAAGAAAAAGGGUAAAGGGAAGAAGCGGACCUUCAAGAAGAACAACAAGCCAUUUGCUGCUCAGGUGAAGAAACCCACGUUUGGACCUAAGCCUGAGACCGAGUGUUUCUACUGCAAAGGAACUGGUCACUGGAAGCGGAACCGCACCAAGUAUUUGGCGGAGAAGAAGGAUGGUGAUACAUCUCCAUCAUAUCUUUAAUUUUUGAUUGUUCCAUGCCAAUAUUAUAUAACUUUCAUAUACUUUUGGCAAAUUUUUAUACUAUUUUUUGGACUAACAUAUUGAUCCAGUGCCCAGUGCUAGUUCCUGUUUGUUGCAUGUUUUUUGUUUUGCAGAAAAUCCAUAUCAAACGGAGUCCAAAGGGGAUAAAAAUCGACAGAGAUUUUUUUGGAAUAUAUGUGAUUUUUAGGAAUAAGAAUCAACGCGAGACGAUGCCUGAGGGGGCCACGAGGCAGGGGGCGCGCCCCAGGGGGUCAAGCGCGCCCUGGGCCCUCGUGGCCACCCCGUGAGGCGGUUGGUGCCCUUAUUUCGCCGCAAGACAGCUAAUAUCCGGAUAGAGAUCGUGUCCAGAAUUCAGCCCAAUCGGAGUUACGGAUCUCCGGGAAUUUAAGAAACGGUGAAAGGACAGAAUCAGGAACGCAGAAACACAGAGACAGAGAGACAGAUACAAUCUCGGAGGGGCUCUCGCCCCUCCCAUGCCAUGGAGGCCAUGUACCAGAGGGGAAACCCUUCUACCAUCUAGGGAGAAGGUCAAGGAAGAAGAAUAAGAAGGGGGGAUCUCUCCCCUCUCUCCCGGUGGCGCCGGAACGCCGCCGUGGCCAUCAUCAUCACCGCAAUCUACACCAACAACUUCACCGCCAUCAUCAAAAACUCUUCCCCCCUCUAUGCAGUGGUGUAAACCCCCUUUUACUUGCUGUAAUCUCUACUUAAACAUGGUUCCCAACUCUAUAUAUUAUUUCCUAAUGAUGUAUGGCUAUCCUAUGAUGUUUGAGUAGAUCCAUUUUGUCCUAUGGGUUAAUUGAUGAUCGUGAUUGAUUUGAGUUGCAUGUUUUAUUAUUGGUGUUGUCCUAUGGCGCUCUCCGUGUCGCGCAAGAGUGAGGGAUCCCCGCUGUAGGGUUUGCAAUAUGUCCAUGAUUUUCUUAUGGUGGGUGGCGUGAGUGACAGAAGCACAUACCCAAGUAAGUAGGUUGUUUGCGUAUGGGAGUAAAGAGGACUUGAUGCCUUAUAAUGCUAUGGUUGGGUUUUACCUUAAUGAUCUUUAGUAGUUGUGGAUGCUUGCUAGAGUUCCAAUCAUAAGUGCAUAUGAUCCAAGAAGAGAAAGUAUGUUAGCUUAUGCCUCUCCCUCAAAUAAAAUUGCAAUAAUGAUUACCGGUCUAGUUAUCGAUUGCCUAGGGACAAAUAACUUUCUUGUGUGACAACAAGCUCUCUACUAAAACUAACUUAGUUGUGUCUUCAUCUAAACAGCCCCUACUUUUUAUUUAAGCGCUCUUUAUUAUCUUGCAAACCUAUCCAACAACACCUACAAAGUACUUCUUGUUUCAUACUUGUUCUAGGUAAAGCGAACGUCAAGCGUGCGUAGAGUUGUAUUGGUGGUCGAUAGAACUUGAGGGAAUAUUUGUUCUACCUUUAGGUCCUCGUUGGGUUCGACACUCUUACUUAUCGAAAGAGGCUACAAUUGAUCCCAUAUACUUGUGGGUUAUCAGAUGGCAAAGUGAAAUGUAUAUUUGAUGUACAUGUUAUUGAUGUGUACCUUACUAAUGCUCGCAGUAGUGCCUGGGUAUUUGAUACUGGUUCAGUUGCUAAAAUUUGCAACUCAAAACAGGGGCUAUGUAUUAAGUGAAGAUUGGCUAACGACGAGGUGAUGAUGUGCGUGGGAAAUGGUUCCAAAGUCGAUGUGAUCGCCGUCGGCACGCUACCUCUACAUCUACCUUCGAGAUUAGUAUUAGACCUAAAUAAUUGUUAUUUGGUGCCAGCGUUGAGCAUGAGCAUUAUAUCUGGAUCAUGUUUGAUGUGAGACGAUUAUUCAUUAAAAUCAGAGAAUAAUGGUUGUUCUAUUUAUAUGAGUAAUAUCUUUUAUGGUCAUGCACCCCUGAUGAGUGGUCUAUUUUUACUAAGUCUUGAUAGUAGUGAUACACAUGUUCAUAGUAUUGAAUCCAAAAGAUGCAGAGUUGAUAAUGAUAGUGCAACUUAUUUGUGGCACUGCCGUUUAGGUCAUAUUGGUGUAAAGCGCAUGAAGAAACUCCAUUCUGAUGGACUUCUGGAAUCACUUGAUUAUGAAUCACUUGGUACUUGUGAACCAUGCCUCAUGGGCAAGAUGACUAAAACUCUGUUCUCCGGAACAAUGGAGCGAGCAAUAGAGUUAUUGGAGAUCAUACAUACUGAUGUGUGUGGUCCAAUGAACAUUGAAGCUCGCGGCGGAUAUCGUUAUUUUCAUACAACGGGCUACUGUUCAUCCACCGUCGACCUCCUCCAGCCUCCACCUGCGACUGUUCAUCCACGGGCUCCUGUUCAUCCAGCCUCCACCGCGCGCUACUCCACCGGCUACUGUUCAACCAGCCCUCUCCACGGGCUCCUGUUCAACCACCCCUCCACAGGCUAUUGUUCAUCCAGCCCUCCAUCGUCUACUUUUCAUCCUGCCCUCCAUGGGGUGGUCCUGUUCAUCCAGCCAUCCAUGGGGUCCUGUUCAUCUAGCCCCAACCGGCUCGAUCGAUCGGGGUCCUGUUCAUCUAGAGGCAACUCCACGGGGUCCUAUUCAUCCACCCCCACUGGGAACUGUUCAUCCAACCCCACCAGCAACGCUCACUGUUCAUCCAGAGGCAGCAUCGAUCGGCUUCAGUUAGCAGCAGUAGCGAAGGAAUCGCUCGAUUGGGUCCAGUUAACACCCAUCGAUCGAUCGCUUGGGUUCAGUAAUGCGUAGCCUGCAGUGCAAUCGCUCAGGUUUAAUUAGAGCCCAACGCCUCGCUCGGGUUCAGUUAUAGCCCAACGCCUCGCACCCACGUGCAUGCGUGUACAAGAGAAACGCGCAUCGCUCGGCCCCGACCACCCACCGUAACCGGGAACACCCCGAUAUUUUCCUCGCCCUCGCUUCUACCAUGGUUUUUUCCGUCAUGGACGGCCCAAAGAAUGUCAUGCAACCGCGUCUUCGGCCCGCCCAGGACGAAAAGCCCAUUUUGUCAUGAUUUUUUGUCAUAAAAGUAGGACCCCACCACAUCUAUGAUGAUACCGGGUUUUCUCACAAUUAUCGUCAUAGAAGUGUCAUAAGUAUGACAUAAUUUUUUUUCAUUCAACCCAAAAUGUCAUAGAUGUGUCUUUUUUUGUAUUGCUACCAAUGUGAGUUUAGUGAUAAUGGAAUCGUAUCUUCGUAUGCUAAGGGUGUUUAUAAUUACUAUGAUGUUCAACAAAUUGAAGAAUUUGUUGCUUUUAAGGGUGCUUAUGAAAUUGCUUCUUUCAUUGAAAAGUAUGAUGCUACUCUUUACAAAUCUGAAAAUUUUGCCAUACUUAAUAUUGUUAUGAUAGUUAUGCCUCUAAUGCCUAUGUUAAACCAUAUAUCGAGGACUCCUCCGUUGUCCAAGAAGAGACUAAUAUUUUGCAGGAGUCUAUGAAAGAAGAGAUUGAUGAAACUGUGAGCUCAUUAGAUGAAAAAGAUGAUGAGGAGAGCGAAAAACAAAAGGAGGAAGAUCGGAUUAGCUACCCGUGCCCACCUUCUAAUGAGAGUAACUCUCCAACUCUUACAUUAUUUAAUGUCCCUUUGUUCUUACCGAAGGAUGAUUGCUAUGAUGAUUAUUAUGAUCCCAUUGAUUCUUUUGAAAUACCCCUUUUUGAUGAACUUGAUGCUUGCUAUGCUUGUGGCCAUGAUGCCAAUAUGAAUGAUGCUUAUGGUGAUGAACUUGCUGUAGUUCCAUAUGUUAAACAUGCAAUUGUUGCUAUUGCACCCACACAUAAUAGUCCUAUUAUCUUUUUGAAUUCUCCAAACUACACUAUAUAGGAGAAGUUUGCUCUUAUUAAGGAUUAUGUUGAUGGGUUGCAUUUUACCGUUGCACAUGAUGAUUUUGAUGAAUGUUAUAUGCAUGUGCUUGCUGCUCCUACUUGCAAUUAUUAUGAGAGAGGAACUACAUCUCCACCUCUCUAUGUUUCCAACAAGAUAAAAUUGCAAGAAACUGUUUAUACUAUGCAUUGGCCUUUACUAUGUGUGCAUGAAUCAUUCUUUUAUGACAUGCCGAUGCAUAUAAGAGAGUUAGAGUUCGUAAUUGCUUGAUAUAUGUUGCUUUGUGCUCACUACUGAAUGCCAAAUCAAUGCUAAUUCAAAUUGGCUUUGAUAUACCUUGGGAUCCGGGUGGAUCCAUUACUUGAGCACUAUAUGCCUAGCUUAAUGGCUUUAAAGAAAGCACUGCCAGGGAGACAACUCGGAAGUUUUAGAGAGUAAUUUAUUUCUGUUGAGUGCUUUUAUAUAUUUUAAAAACACAAAAAUAAAGAGGGGAACCCAAAACUUUUCAAAAAGGAAAGUGAAAGUGAGAGAGACAAGCAUUGUUGAAGUGGGGGAGUUCCUUGAACUUUGUUAAUGCUCACAGAAACUUUGUGAAUCUUGAUUACAGGAACUUUUCAACAAAAAUAAUUAUCCCCUUGUACAAUUCCAUUGUAUUAUAAAAAUAAUGUGCCAAGAUUUGCCUUUAGGAUGUUUACAUUGCUUGUUGGUUUGUGCGGUGCAGAACAGAAACUUUGCCUGUAGUGCGUGAUUUUACAUUUUGUACUGGAAUGUCAAACGGUUCUGAAACUUUUUGCACUGUAUUUCUAUACAAAUUUUUUAUUUUUCCGAAUUUUAGCAGAAUGUUUUGAGUACCAGAGGUAUGGUGAAUGUUCAGAUUACUACAGACUGUCCUGUUUAAGACAGAUUUUGUUUUUGAUGCAUUGUUUGCUUGUUUUGAUGAAACUAUCGAUUUCUAUCAGUGGAUUAAGCCAUGUAAAAGUUAUAUUACAGUAGCUACAGUGCAAAAUAAAAUAUGAAUUGGUUUGCAACAGUAUUAGAGUAGUGAUUUGCUUUAUUAUACUAACGGAUCUUACCGAGUUUUCUGUUGAGUUUUGUGUGGAUGAAGUGUUCGAAGAUCGAGGAGGUCUCGAUGUGAGGAGGAGGAGGAGAGGCAAGAGCUCAAGCUUGGGGAUGUCCAAGGAACCCCAAGUAAAUAUUCAAGGAGACUCAAGCGUCUAAGCUUGGGGAUGCCCCGGAAGACAUCCCAUCUUUCUUCAACAAGUAUCAGUAUGUUUUCGAAUUCGUUUUGUUCAUGCGAUAUGUGCAAACCUUGGAGCGUCUUUUGCAUUUUGUUUUCACUUUUCUUUUAUGCACCGUGCUGGUAUGAGAUAGUCUUUGGUUGAUUUAUAGAGAGAGGAACAUAUGCUUCUAGGUAUUGCAAUAAUAUCAAGUUUCCUUUCUAUGUGUUGAAAAUCUUGAAGUCUUGCUUGCUUUGCCUUCCUAUGGUAGUUGAUUCUUGUUCCCAUAAAUUGUUUGCUCACAAAAUCCCUAUGCAUAGGAAGUGGGUUAGACUUAAAUGUGUUUGUCAUGUGCUUCAUGAUGCUCUCUUGUUAUGUUUCAACUCUUAUCUUUUAUGCGAGCAUCAUUGAAAUUAUCAUGCCUAGCUAAGAGGCAUUAAAGAAAAGCGUUUGUUGGGAGACAACCCAAGACUUUUACCUACUGUUUUUGUGUGUUCACAUGAUUAGGCUACUGUAGUAAUAAUUUUUUAUUGCUUUUGUUUCAAUAAAGUGCCAAGUAAGACAUUUGGGAUGGCUUACGGUGAUAGUUGAUUUGAUCUUGCCGAAAAACAGAAACUUUUGCGCUCAGGAAAACAAUUCUCAUUUUUAACAGAAGCGUGAUAAAAUGCUGAUUCUUUUUGCAUAAGAUUAAUACACAAAUCACCCAGGUUUUCCUAUUUUUUCAGAAUUUUUGUAGUAAUGGAAGUAUGGUUAGAGUACAGAUUACUACAGACUGUUCUGUUUUGACAGAUUCUGUUUUCAAUGCAUAGUUUGCUUGUUUUCUAGUUUCUAUGGCUUAUAUUGCUCAAUAUAAAUUAUGGAAAUGAUAUUAUACAGUAGGCAUUGUGUGAGAAAAAUUAUUAAUCUUAUCUUUGACAAUUCCAAAGUGAAAUGGUUUGCUCUUUAUCAUACUAACCUAUCUCACGAAGUUCCGUUAAGUUUUGUGUGAUUGAAGUUUUCAAGUUUUGGGUGAGAUGUCGAUAUGAGAAGAAUAAGGGGUGACAAGGCCCUAAGAUUGGGGAUGCCCAAGGCAACCCAAGUUAAUAUCUAAGGAGGAUCCAAGCAACUAAGCUUGGGGAUGCCCCAGAAGGCAUCCCCUCUUUCGUCUCCAACAUUAUCGGUAACCUCACUCGGAGCUAUGUUUUCAUUCGUCACAUGAUAUGUGUUUUGUUUGUAACUGAAGGAAAUAUGCCCUAGAGGCAAUAAUAAAGUUGUUGUUUAUAUUUCCUUAUAUCAUGAUAAAUGUUUAUUAUUCAUGCUAGAAUUGUAUUAACCGGAAACUUAGUACAUGUGUGAAUACAUAGACAAACAGAGUGUCACUAGUUUGCCUCUACUUGACUAGCUCGUUGAAUCAAUGAUGGUUAUGUUUCCUAACCAUAGACACGAGUUGUCACUUGAUUAACGGUAUCACAUCAUUAGAGAAUUAUUUGAUUGACUUGACCCAUCCGUUAGAUCGUUUAGUUUGUUGCUAUUGCUUUCUCCAUAACUAUACAUGUUCCUAUGACUAUGAGAUCAUGCAACUCCCAAAUACCGGAGGAACACUUUGUGUGCUACCAAAUGUCACAACGUUACUGGGUGAUUAUAAAGGUGCUCUAUAGGUGUCUCUGAUGGUGUUUGUUGAGUUGGCAUGAAUCAAGAUUAGGAUUUGUCACUCCGAUUGUCGGAGAGGUAUCUCUGGGCCCUCUCGGUAAUGUACAUCAUAAUAAGCCUUGAAAGCAAUGUAGCUAAUGAGUUAGUUACGGGAUGUAUCAUUACAUAACGAGUAUAGAGACUUGCCAGAAACGAGAUUGAACUAGGUAUUGAGAUACCGACGAUCGAAUCUCGGGCAAGUAACAUACCGAUGACAAAAGGAACAAAGUAUACCGUUAUGCGGUUUGACCAAUAAAGAUCUUCGUAGAAUAUGUAGGAGCCAAUAUGAGCAUCCAGGUUCCGCUAUUGGUUAUUGACCAGAGACAUGUCUCGGUCAUGUCUACAUAGUUCUCGAACCCAUAGGGUCCGCACGCUUAACGUUCGGUGACGAUCGGUAUUAUGAGUUUAUGUGUUUUGAUGUACCGAAGGUAGUCCAGAGUCCCGGAUUUGAUCACGGACAUGACGGGGAGUCUCAGAUUGGUUGAGACAUAAAGAUCGAUAUAUUGGAAGCCUAUAUUUGGACAUCGAAAUGGUUCCGAGUGGUUCGGGCAUUUUUCUGGAGUACCGUGAGGUUACCGGAACCCCCCGGGGAGUAGAUGGGCCUUAUUGGGCCUUAGUGGAAUAGAGGAGAGGGAAGGGAAAAGAGGGAGGCGCGCCCCAAGCCCAAUCCGAAUUGGGAGGGGGGCCGACCCCCCUUUCCUUCCUCCCUCUCUCCUCCUUCCUUCCUCUCCUACUCCUACUUGGAAGGGGGGAAUUACUUCCCCAGGGCGCGCCAUAGAGAGGGGCGGCCCUCCCCCUCCUCCACUCCUUUAUAUAUAGGGGAGGGGGCACCCCAUAGACACACAAGUUGAUCAUUGAUCUUUUAGCCGUGUGCGGUGCCCCCCUCCACGAUAAUCCACCUCGGUUAUAUCGUAGCAGUGCUUAGGUGAAGCCCUGUUCCGGUAGCAACAUCAUCACCGUCAUCACGCCGUCGUGCUGAAGAAACUCUCCCUCGAAGCUCUACUAGAUCGUGAGUUUGCGGGACGUCACCGAGCCGAACGUGCGCAGAUCGCGGAGGUGCCGUACCUUUGGUGCUAGAUCGGUCGAUCGUAAAGACGUACGAUUACAUCAACCGCGUUGUCAUAACGCUUCCUCUUACGGUCUACGAGGGUACGUAGACGAUACUGUCCCCUCUCAUCGCUAUGCAUCAUCAUAAUCUUGCAUGUGCGUAGGAAUUUUUUGAAAUAAUCGUGUUCCCCAACAAUGGCAUCCAAGCCAGGUUUAUGCGUAGAUGUUAUAUGCACGAGUAGAACACAAAGGAGUUAUGGGCGUGGGUAUAUACAUAUUGCUUGCCGUCACUAGUUGAUUCUUGAUUCAGUGACAUUGUUGGAUGAAGCGGCCCCGACCGACAUUACGCGUACGCUUAUGCGAGAUUGGUUCUACUGACGUGCUUCACACAAAGGUGGCUAGUGGGUGUCUGUUUCUCCAGCUUUAGUUGAAUCGGAUUCAAUGAACAGGGUUCUUUCCGAAGAUCAAAAAGAAAUCACUAUACCGCGUUGUGGUUUUUUUGAUGUGUAGGUAAGAACGGUUCUUGCUCAGCCCGUAGCAGCCACGUAAAACUUGCAACAACAAAGUAGAGGACGUCUAACCUGUUUUUGCAGGGCAUGUUGUGAUGUGAUAUGGUCAAGACAUGAUGCUAAAUUUUAUUGCAUGAGAUGAUCUUGUUUUGUAACACAGUUAUCGGCAACUGGCAGGAGCCAUAUGGUUGUCGCUUUAUUGUAUAAAAUGCAAUCGCCAUGUAAUUGCUUUACUUUAUCACUAAGCGGUUGCGAUAGUCGUAGAGGCAAUAGUUGGCGAGACGAAAACGAUGCUUCGAUGGAGAUCAAGGUGUCAAGCCAGUGACGAUGGUGAUCAUGACGGUGCUUUGGAGAUGGAGAUCAAAGGCACAAGAUGAUGAUGGCCAUAUCAUAUCACUUAUAUUGAUUGCAUGUGAUGUCUAUCCUUUAUGCAUCUUAUUUUUCUUAGUUCGGCGGUAGCAUUAUAAGAUGAUCUCUCACUAAAUUUCAAGGUAUAAGUGUUCUCCCUGAGUAUGCACCGUUGCUAUAGUUCGUCGUGCCGAGACACCACGUGAUCAUCGGGUGUGAUAAGCUCUAUGUUCACAUACAACGGGUGCAAGCCGGGUUAAACUUGACGAGCCUAGCAUAUGCAUAUACAGCCUCAGAACACUGGAGAUUGAAAGAUCGAGCAUGAAUCAUAUAGUAGAUAUGAUCAACAUAGUGAUGUUCACCAUUGAACACUACUCCAUCUCACGUGAUGAUCGGACAUGGUUUAGUUGAUAUGGAUCACGUGAUCACUUAGAUGAUUAGAGAGAUGUCUAUCUAAGUGGGAGUUCUUAAGUAAUUUGAUUAAUUGAACUUUAAUUUAUCAUGAACUUAGUACCUAAUAGUAUUUUGCAUGUCUAUAUUGUUGUAGAUAGAUGGCCUGUGCUAUUGUUCCGUUGAAUUUUAAUGCGUUCCUAGAGAAAGCAAAGUUGAAAGAUGAUGGUAGCAACUACACGGACUGGGUCCGUAACUUGAGGAUUAUCCUCAUUGCUGCACCCGGCAGAGCAAAGCUCAUGACUACUCGAUAGAUCAGUGUGCCAUGCUUUAUAGCUUAGAACCGGGACUUCAACGACGUUUUGAACGUCAUGGAGCAUAUGAGAUGUUCCAGGUGUUGAAGUUAAUAUUUCAAGCAAAUGCCCGGAUUGAGAGAUAUGAAGUCUCCAAUAAGUUCUACAGUUGCAAGAUGGAGGAGAAUAGUUCUGUCAGUGAACAUAUACCCAGAAUGUUUGGGUACCACAACCACUUGACUCUCGCCCCUCCCAUGCCAUGGAGGCCAUGUACCAGAGGGGAAACCUUUCUACCAUCUAGGGAGAAGGUCAAGGAAGAAGAAUAAGAAGGGGGAUCUCUCCCCUCUCUCCCGGUGGCGCCAGAACACCGCCGUGGCCAUCAUCAUCACCGCAAUCUACACCAACAACUUCACCGCCAUCAUCAAAAACUCUUCCCCCCUCUAUGCAGCGGUGUAACCCCCCUUUUACUUGCUGUAAUCUCUACUUAAACAUGGUUCCCAACUCUAUAUAUUAUUUCCUAAUGAUGUAUGGCUAUCCUAUGAUGUUUGAGUAGAUCCAUUUUGUCCUAUGGGUUAAUUGAUGACCGUGAUUGAUUUGAGUUGCGUGUUUUAUUAUUGGUGCUGUCCUAUGGCGCUCUCCGUGUCGCGCAAGAGUGAGGGAUCCCCGCUGUAGGGUUUGCAAUAUGUCCAUGAUUUUCUUAUGGUGGGUGGCGUGAGUGAGAGAAGCACAUACCCGAGUAAGUAAGUUGUUUGCGUAUGGGAGUAAAGAGGACUUGAUGCCUUAUAAUGCUAUGGUUGGGUUUUACCUUAAUGAUCUUUAGUAGUUGUGGAUGCUUGCUAGAGUUCCAAUCAUAAGUGCAUAUGAUCCAAGAAGAGAAAGUAUGUUAGCUUAUGCCUCUCCCUCAAAUAAAAUUGCAAUAAUGAUUACCGGUCUAGUUAUCGAUUGCCUAGGGACAAAUAACUUUCUUGUGUGACAACAAGCUCUCUACUAAAACUAACUUAGUUGUGUCUUCAUCUAAACAGCCCCUACUUUUUAUUUAAGCGCUCUUUAUUAUCUUGCAAACCUAUCCAACAACACCUACAAAGUACUUCUUGUUUCAUACUUGUUCUAGGUAAAGCGAACGUCAAGCGUGCGUAGAGUUGUAUUGGUGGUCGAUAGAACUUGAGGGAAUAUUUGUUCUACCUUUAGGUCCUCGUUGGGUUUCGACACUCUUACUUAUCGAAAGAGGCUACAAUUGAUCCCAUAUACUUGUGGGUUAUCAGAUGGCAAAGUGAAAUGUAUAUUUGAUGUACAUGUUAUUGAUGUGUACCUUACUAAUGCUCGCAGUAGUGCCUGGGUAUUUGAUACUGGCUCAGUUGCUAACAUUUGCAACUCGAAACAGGGGCUAUGGAUUAAGCGAAUAUUGGCUAAGGACGAGGUGAUGAUGUGCGUGGGAAAUGGUUCCAAAGUCGAUGUGAUCGCCGUCGGCACGCUACCUCUACAUCUACCUUCGAGAUUAGUAUUAGACCUAAAUAAUUGUUAUUUGGUGCCAGCGUUGAGCAUGAGCAUUAUAUCUGGAUCUUGUUUGAUGUGAGACGGUUAUUCAUUAAAAUCAGAGAAUAAUGGUUGUUCUAUUUAUAUGAGUAAUAUCUUUUAUGUUCAUGCACCCCUGAUGAGUGGUCUAUUUUUACUAAGUCUUGAUAGUAUUGAUACACAUGUUCAUAGUAUUGAAUCCAAAAGAUGCAGAGUUGAUAAUGAUAGUGCAACUUAUUUGUGGCACUGCCGUUUAGGUCAUAUUGGUGUAAAGUGCAUGAAGAAACUCCAUUCUGAUGGACUUCUGGAAUCACUUGAUUAUGAACCACUUGGUACUUGCGAACCAUGCCUCAUGGGCAAGAUGACUAAAACUCCGUUCUCCGGAACAAUGGAGUGAGCAAUAGAGUUAUUGGAAAUCAUACAUACUGAUGUGUGUGGUCCAAUGAACAUUGAAGCUCACGGCGGAUAUCGUUAUUUUCAUACAACGGGCUAUUGUUCAUCCACCGUCGACCUCAUGCAGCCUCCACCUGUGACUGUUCAUCCACGGGCUCCUGUUCAUGCAGCCUCCACCGCGCGCUACUCCACCGGCUACUGUUCAACCAGCCCUCUCCACGGGCUCCUGUUCAACCACCCCUCCACGGGCUACUGUUCAUCCAGCCCUCCACCGUCUACUUUUCAUCCUGCCCUCCAUGGGGUGGUCCUGUUCAUCCAGCCAUCCAUGGGGUCCUAUUCAUCCAGCCCCAACCGGCUCGAUCGAUCGGGGUCCUGUUCAUCUAGAGGCAACACCACGGGGUCCUGUUCAUCCACCCCCAUCGGGAACUGUUCAUCCAACCCCCCCAGCAACGCUCACUGUUCAUCCAGAGGUAGCAUCGAUCGGCUUCAGUUAGCAGCAGUAGCGAAGGAAUCGCUCGAUUGGGUCCAGUUAACACCCAUCGAUCGAUCGCUUGGGUUCAGUAAUGCGUAGCCUGCAGUGCAAUCGCUCGGGUUUAAUUAGAGCCCAACGCCUCGCUCGGGUUCAGUUAGAGCCCAAUGCCUCGCACCCACGCGCGUGCGUGUACAAGAGAAACGCGCAUCGCUCGGCCCCGACCACCCAUCGUAACCGGGAACACCCCAAUAUUUUCCUCGCCCUCGCUUCUACCAUGGUUUUUUUCCGUCAUGGAUGGCCCAAAGAAUGUCAUGCAACCGCGUCUUCGGCCCGCCCAGGACGAAAAGCCCAUUUUGUCAUGAUUUUUUGUCAUAGAAGUAGGACCCCACCACAUCUAUGAUGAUACCAGGUUUUCUCACAAUUAUCGUCAUAGAAGUGUCAUAAGUAUGACAUAAUUUUUUUUCAUUCGGCCCAAAAUGUCAUAGAUGUGUCUUUUUUUGUAGUGCUACCAAUGUGAGUUUAGUGAUAAUGGUAUCGUAUCUUCAUAUGCUAAGGGUGUUUAUAAUUACUAUGAUGUUCAACAAAUUGAAGAAUUUGUUGCUUUUAAGGGUGCUUAUGAAAUUGCUUCUUUGAUUGAAAAGUAUGAUGCUACUCUUUACAAAUCUGAAAAUUUUGCCAUACUUAAAUAUUGUUAUGAUAGUUAUGCUUCUAAUGCCUAUGUUAAACCAUAUAUCGAGGACUCCUCUGUUGUCCAAGAAGAGACUAAUAUUUUGCAGGAGUCUAUGGAAGAAGAGAUUGAUGAAACUGUGAGCUCAUUAGAUGAAAAAGAUGAUGAGGAGAGCGAAGAACAAAAGGAGGAAGAUCGGAUUAGCUACCCGUGCCCACCUUCUAAUGAGAGUAACUCUCCAACUCUUACAUUAUUUAAUGUCCCUUUGUUCUUACCGAAGGAUGAUCGCUAUGAUGAUUAUUAUGAUCCCAUUGAUUCUUUUGAAAUACCCCUUUUUGAUGAACUUGGUGCUUUCUAUGCUUGUGGCCAUGAUGCCAAUAUGAAUGAUGCUUAUGGUGAUGAACUUGCUAUAGUUCCAUAUGUUAAACAUGCAAUUGUUGCUAUUGCACCCACACAUAAUAGUCCUAUUAUCUUUUUGAAUUCUCCAAACUACACUAUAUAGGAGAAGUUUGCUCUUAUUAAGGAUUAUGUUGAUGGGUUGCAUUUUACCGUUGCACAUGAUGAUUUUGAUGAAUGUAAUAUGCAUGUGCUUGCUGCUCCUACUUGCAAUUAUUAUGAGAGAGGAACUACAUCUCCACCUCUCUAUGUUUCCAACAAGAUAAAAUUGCAAGAAACUGUUUAUACUAUGCAUUGGCCUUUACUAUGUGUGCAUGAAUCAUUCUUUUAUGACAUGCCGAUGCAUAUAAGAGAGUUAGAGUUCGUAAUUGCUUGAUAUAUGUUGCUUUGUGCUCACUACUGAAUGCCAAAUCAUUGCUAAUUCAAAUUGGCUUUGAUAUACCUUGGGAUCCGGGUGGAUCCAUUACUUGAGCACUAUAUGCCUAGCUUAAUGGCUUUAAAGAAAGCGCUGCCAGGGCGACAACCCGGAAGUUUUAGAGAGUAAUUUAUUUCUGUUGUGCUUUUAUAUAGUUUAAAAACAAAAAAAUAAAGAGGGGAACCCAAAACUUUUCAAAAAGGAAAGUGAAAGUGAGAGAGACAAGCAUUGUUGAAGUGGGGGAGCUCCUUGAACUUUGUUCAUGCUCACAGAAACUUUGUGAAUCUUGAUUACAGGAACUUUUCAACAAAAAUAAUUAUCCCCUUGUACAAUUCCAUUGUAUUAUAAAAAUAAUGUGCCAAGAUUUGCCUUUAGGAUGUUUACAUUGCUUGUUGGUUUGUGCGGUGCAGAACAGAAACUUUGGCUGUAGUGCGUGAUUUUACAUUUUGUACUGGAAUGUCAAACGGUUCUGAAACUUUUUGCACCGUAUUUCUAUACAAAUUGUUUAUUUUUCCGAAUUUUAGCAGAAUGUUUUGAGUAACAGAGGUAUGGUGAAUGUUCAGAUUACUACAGACUGUCCUGUUUAAGACAGAUUCUGUUUUUGAUGCAUUGUUUGCUUGUUUUGAUGAAACUAUCGAUUUCUAUCAGUGGAUUAAGCCAUGUAAAAGUUAUAUUACAGUAGCUACAGUGCAAAAUAAAAUAUGAAUUGGUUUGAAACAGUAUUAGAGUAGUGAUUUGCUUUAUUAUACUAACGGAUCUUACCGAGUUUUGUGUUGAGUUUUGUGUGGAUGAAGUGUUCGAAGAUCGAGGAGGUCUCGAUGUGAGAAGGAGGAGGAGAGGCAAGAGCUCAAGCUUGGGGAUGUCCAAGGAACCCCAAGUAAAUAUUCAAGGAGACUCAAUCGUCUAAGCUUGGGGAUGCCCCGGAAGGCAUCCCAUCUUUCUUCAACAAGUAUCAGUAUGUUUUCGGAUUCGUUUUGUUCAUGCGAUAUGUGCAAAUCUUGGAGCGUCUUUUGCAUUUUGUUUUCACUUUUCUUUUAUGCACCAUGCUGGUAUGAGAUAGUCUUUGGUUGAUUUAUAGAAUUCUCAUUGCACUUCACUUAUAUCUUUUGAGUAUGGCUUUAUAGAAUGCUUCAUGUGCUUCACUUAUAUCAUUUGAAGUUUGGAUUGCCUCUUUCUCUUCACAUAGAAAACCACCAUUUAUAGAAUGCUCUUUUGCUUCACUUAUAUUUGUUAGAGCGUGGGCAUAUCUUUUGUAGAAAGAAUUAAACUCUCUUGCUUCACUUAUAUAUAUUUAGAGAGAUGACAUGAAUUGGUCAUUCACAUGGUUAGUCAUAAAAUCCUACAUAAAACUUGUAGAUCACUGAUUAUCAUAUGUUUGGUUCCUUGCAAUAGUUUUGCGAUAUAAAGGUGGUGAUAUUAGAGUCGUGCUAGUGGGUAGUUGUGAAAUUGAGAAAUACUUGUGUUGAGGUUUGCAAGUCCCGUAGCAUGCACGUAUGGUAAACAUUGUGUGACAAAUUUGAAGCAUGGGGUGUUCUUUGAUUGCUUUCCUUCUGAGUGGCGGUUGGGGACGAUCGAUGGUCUUUUCCUACCAAUGUAUCCCCCUAGGGGCAUGCGCAGUAGUACUUUGCUUCAAGGGCUAAUAAACUUUUGCAAUAAGUAUAUGAGUUCUUUAUGACUAAUGUUGAGUCCAUGGAUUAUACGCACUCUCACCCUUCCAUCAUUGCUAGCCUCUUCUGUACCAUGCAUUGCCCUUUCUCACCUCGAGAGUUGGUGCAAACUUCGCCGGUGCAUCCAAACCCCGUGAUACAAUACACUCUAUCACACAUAAACCUCCUUAUAUCUUCCUCAAAACAACCGCCAUAACUACCUAUCAUGGCAUUUCCAUAGCCAUUCCAAGAUAUAUUGCCGUGCAACUUCCAUCAUCAUCAUAUACAUGACUUGAGCAUUUAUUGUCGUAUUGCUUUGCAUGAUCGUAAGAUAGCUAGCAUGAUGUUUUCAUGUCUUGUCCGUUUUUUGAUUUCAUUGCUUCGCUAGAUCAUUGCACAUCCCAGUACACCACCGGAGGCAUUCAUAUAGAGUCAUAUCUUUGUUCUAGUAUCGAGUUGUAAUAUUGAGUUGUAAGUAAAUAAAAGUGUGAUGAUCAUCAUUAUUAGAACAUCGUCCCAUGUGAGGUUAUCAAAAUAAAAGAGGCCAAAGAAGCCCAAAUAAAAAAAGAGGCCAAAGAAGCCCACCAAAAAAAGAGAAAAAAAGAGAAAAAACCAAAAAAGAGGGACAAUGUUACUAUCCUGUUACCACACUUGUGCUUCAAAGUACCACCAUGUUCUUCAUAUAGAGAGUCUCAUUGAGUUAUCACUUUCAUAUACUAGUGGGAAUUUUCAUUAUAGAACUUGGCUUGUAUAUUCCGAUGAUGGGCUUCCUCAAAUGCCCGAGGUCUUCAUGAGCAAGCAAGUUGGAUGCACACCCACUUAGUUUCAGUUCGAGCUUUCAUAUACUUAUAGCUCUAGUGCACCCGUUGCAUGGCAAUCCAUACUCCUCACAUUGACAUCAAUUGAUGGGCAUCUCCAUAGCCCGUUGAUUAGCCGCGUUGAUGUGAGACUUUCUCCUUUUUUGUCUUCUCCACACAAACUCCACCAUCAUAUUCUAUUCCACCUAUAGUGCUAUGUCCAUGGCUCACGCUCAUGUAUUGCAUGAGGGUUGAAAAGGCUAAAACGUGUUAAAAAGUAUGAACCAAUUGCUCGGCUUGUCAUCGGGGUUGUGCAUGAUGGGAGCAUUUUGUGUGACGAAAAUGAAGUAUGGCCAAACUAUAUGAUUUUGUAGGGAUGAGCUUUCUUUGGCUAUGUUAUUUUGAGAGUACAUGAUUGCUUUAUUAGUAUGCUCGAAGUAUAUUUGUCUUAAUGUCAAAUGAUAGACUAUUGCUCUGAAUCACUCAUGUCUUAAUAUUCGUGCCAUCAUUAGAUUACAUGAUCAAGAUUAUGCUAGGUAGCAUUCCACAUCAAAAAUUAUCUUUUUUUAUCAUUUGCCUACUCGAGGAUGAGCAGGAAUUAAGCUUGGGGAUGCUGAUACGUCUCUGUCUUAUCUAUAAUUUUUGAUUGUUCCAUGCCAAUAUUAUACAACUUUCAUAUACUUUUGGAAACUUUUUAUACUAUUUUUGGGACUAACAUAUUGAUCCAGUGCCCAGUUCUAGUUCCUAUUUGUUGCAUGUUUUUUGUUUCACAGAAAAUCCAUAUCAAACAGAGUCCAAACAGGAUAAAAACUGACGGUUUUUUGGAAUAUAUGUGAUUUUUGGAAAGAAGAAUCAACGCGAGACAAUGCCCGAGGGGGCCAUGAGGCAGGGGGGCGCGCCCCAGGGGGUCAGGUGCGCCCUGGGCCCUCGUGCCCACCCCAUAAGACGGUUGGUGCCCUUCUUUUGCCGCAAGAAAGCUAAUAUCCAGAUAGAGAUCGUGUCCAAAAUUCAGCCCAUUCGAAGUUACAGAUCUCCAGGAAUUUAAGAAACGGUGAAAGGGCAGAAUCAGGAACGCAGAAAUAGAGAGAGACAGAGAGACAGAUCCAAUCUCGGAGGGGCUCUCGCCCCUCCCAUGCCAUGGAGGCCAUGGACCAUAGGGGAAACCCUUCUCCCAUCUAGUGAGAAGGUCAAGGAAGAAGAAGAAGAAGGGGGCUCUCUCCCCCUCUCUCCCGGUGGCGCCGGAACACCGCGGGGGCCAUCAUCAUCACCGCAAUCUACACCAACAACUUCACCGCCAUCAUCACCAACUCUUCCCCCCUCUAUGCAGCGGUGUAACCCCCCUUUUACCUGCUGUAAUCUCUACUUAAACAUGGUGCCCAAUGCUAUAUAUUAUUUCCCAAUGAUGUAUGGCUAUCCUAUGAUGUUUGAGUAGAUCCGUUUUGUCCUAUGGGUUAAUUGGUGAUCGUGAUUAGUUUGAGUUGCAUGUUUUAUUAUUGGUGCUGUCCUAUUGUGCUCUCCGUGUCAUGCAAGCGUGAGGGAUCCCCUCUAUAGGGUUUGCAAUAUUUUCAUGAUUUGCUUAUGGUGGGUGGCGUGAGUGACAUAAGCAUAGACCCGAGUAAGUAGGUUAUUUGCGUAUGGGAGUAAAUAGGACUUGAUGCCUUAUAAUGCUAUGGUUGGGUUUUACCUUAAUGAUCUUUAGUAGUUGCAGAUGCUUGCUAGAGUUCCAAUCAUAAUCGCAUAUGAUCCAAGAAGAGAAAGUAUGUAGCUUAUGCCUCUCCCUCAAAUAAAAUUGCAAUAAUGAUUACCGGUCUAGUUAUCGAUUGCCUAGGGACAAAUAACUUUCUUGUGUGACAACAAGCUCUCUACUAAAACUAACUUAGUUGUGUCUUCAUCUAAACAACCCCUACUUUUUAUUUACGUGCUCUUUAUUAUCUUGCAAUUUGGGCUGGGCCUCCGGUUAAUAGGUUAGUCCCAAAAAUCAUAUAAAAUAGCAUAUAAAUGCAUAUAAAACAUCCAAGGUUGAUAAUAUAAUAGCAUGGAACAAUCAAAAAUUAUAGAUACGUUGGAGACGUAUCACUUGUUGUUCUGAAAACCCUAAGAAACACCUUCCCUACACUACAAAAAAAUACACUUUCAUGAUGAUACGUGUUUGUCACAGUAGGUCACGUUUUCUGUGAUGCAUGUACAUCCAUGACAAAUUUAUGACAGAAUCAAGAUAGUCAUACCUCUGCUGUCGUAGAAGUGUUCCAUGACAUUACCAAAAUUAUCAUCACGGAAGUGUCCACUUCCAUGAAGAUAAAUCGCGCGUCACAUGAGUGCUUUCGUCAAGGGUGACCGACACGUGGCAUCCACCGUAACGGAACGUCGUUAAGCUAUCGGGUCCGGUUUUGGAUCCGAUAACCCGUUAACAGCCCGAACCAAUGGGGAUUUUCCACGCGUAAAAUUUUGAUUGGUUGAUGGACACACAUGUCAGCUCCGCGUUGGCACAUGUGUCACUUAUCCAAUGGGCGAGAUGCGCCUAUGAUAUGUUGACACAUGGACCGACCCAAAAGUGGCCCAUAAAGUUUAAAUGGGACGGCCCAACUAAAGGCCCACAAGAUUUUGCGGUCCAUAAUGGGCCGACCCAGCAAAAGGCCCACGAGAUUUUGCGUAUCAUAAUGGGCUGGCCCAGCUAAAGGCGCACGAGAUUUUGCUGGCCAUAAUGGGAUGGCCCAGCUAAAGACCCACAAGAUUUUGCAGUCCAUAAUGGGUCGGCCCAGCUAAAGGCCCAACAUUCUCAGUUAAGGCCCGUACAGCUAGUGUCAAAUCAGCCCGUCAACGGCCUGUCAUAAACUUGUCAUCAUUGCAGCCCAUGGUCACUUCUGGCCCGUUAACAGUCCGCUAAGUAUAUGGGACGAAUUACGGCCCGAUGUAUUUUCGGCGUGUUAAAGGUCCUGCUUCAUUUGGGCCCAUUUACAGGCCACUGAAACUUUCAGCCCAUAAACGACCGUGAAGGAUCUGGGUCAUAUUCGUCCAUGUCUGACAUUCGGCCUAUUAGAGGCCCACUAUAGAUUUGGGCCACUUUCGUCCUGUUGUGAUUUUUGGCCUAUUAAUGUCGGACGAAAUCCAUGGGCCAUAUGUGGCCCAACAUCACAUCGGGCCCAUUAACGGCCCAUAUAAAAAUGAAAAUAAUCUAGCCCGACCGAACUUCCGGCCUGUUAAAGGCCCGUGUAUUAGGUCGGCGCAUUUACGGCCCGUCCGAAUUUUGGCAUGUGAAAAAACCGCAUCGUAAAUGGGCCACCAUUUCGGCUUGCUUAACCAGUGGGUUAUUUGGCACAAUCAGAGCCCAAUCUCACUUUCGGUCUUUUAAAGGCCCAUGUUUUUAAUGGGCUCGAGAUAUUUACACCUGUAAACGACCUAUUGUUACUGAGGGCCCAAAUUAUAUUUAUGCCUGUUAAAGGCCCACUAUGGGCACAGGUCUACCAGAAAAUAUGAAAUCUUAUGCCGAUUUAGGCCUAGAUAUUUUUAGUGGGCUACAUGCAAAUUUUGGCCCAUAAUCGUUUUUAGCCCAAUUGGAAUGGGUCCGACGAAUGUUGGCAUGUUGGGCUCCUACGAAGCUUUCGACCGAAUACAUUACUAAGAUAAACCUACACUAUACAAAAUAGCUUCGUAAUUAUUGAAGCCUUUGGCAGCAUCAUAAAUGCUGUAUCACAAUAAAAUAAAUUCCAACCAUACAAAAAAGGCCUGUUGGCAUAAAGUUUACAGUCCUUGCAGAUAAAAGCACCAUCAGAUGUAUAGAAGCAUAGAUCAUUUGACCCGAGUGCUAAUGUUUCAGGCUGUAGAAUCUGAUGGAGCAGCAUGAUCUUCACCUUUUUUCUGCCAUUGCUCUUGAACAACGAAGCGAAUGUCUGAUAGUCUGGUUUCAAAACCAUUCAUAUCUUAACGACAUUUGUCAACCACUAUUCUUGUUUCCAAAACGACGUCCAUUAGGGAUUGGACUUGUGUCUGGAGCACAGAUAUAUCACUCUGUCUAGUAGGAAGAUUUUGUUCAGUAGGCGAUUUGGACGAGGUUACCUUGACAACCAACCCAGAAUUACGCAGGAAGGUGCUUUUUGCACUUGUAAGUGCAUCUAGUGCCCCUUAGUGAUUUUGGUGUAUUGAAGACUUAUAGGUUAAGGGACUAAUGUGUUUAUGAGUGUACACAAGUCUAUAAGACUAUGAGGAGUUUGAUAUUUACAGAGAAAGUCGACCCCUAAAAAUGAAGUUCUUCGACUGAAGACUUUGGAUUUCUGAAGACUUUCUGAAGACUUCGAAAGUGAAGAAAUUGGUGUGACCUUGAAGACUUGGUAUUCACUCGAGGAACAUGAAGUGUGAAGACUUUUGUUUUUGUAGUUUCAUUUUCUCUUUCUUGAGUCAUAGGAAACACCGUACUAUUAAAGGGGGUCGAGGAAAUACUAAGGAAAAAUUUCCAUGUGAUGCUCAACUCAAAAUCCUACACCUACCAAUCCCUCGAGUGAAGCCAUUGGAAAUCUCAUACAGUUCAGUCAUAUUCUUCAGUGACAGAGACAAAGUUCUUCUGGUCCCUGAGGAAUUUGUUCUGACUCAGGAGUUAGGAAUUCGCCAGUACGGAUUGCCUACAUAGUGAGGAACAUGAUAGCCCUGAGGAAUUUGAUACUCAUUUCCGACCGUUGCUGUGCCUUGUGCCAGCUGUCCCAAAAUAUCUACCCACCUAACGGUCAUAUCAUCAUUGAAGGGAAUUUAUGUCUUAUCAUGUCGGGCUGCUCCCUAGGCUAUAAAUAGCCGCCCCCUACAACCACUAGCUGGUUGGCUGCUCCGAGAAAAACUGACACUUGUCAUUUGAGAGCAUCCCGUCCUCCGAGGACUUUGAGUGAAAAUCAUCAAGUGAGGAAAACCCAAACCCAAACACCUAGAAACCCCAAGUGAUUGAGCAUCACUUAAGAGAUUGAUCCUGCGUGGAUCCGACGCUUGUUACCUUUGAAGACUGUGCAUCUUCUAGACAGUUAGGCGUCAUGGUCUAGAGCAUCCAAGAGGAAUUGUGGAUCACCGAGUGACCGAGUUUGUGAAGGUUCGGAAGUCACCUGAAGACUUACCACGAGUUAUUGGGUGAGGUCUGUGUGACCUUAGCUCAAGGGGAAUAUGGUGAGGACUGAGUGUUCUGAACUGCGUGUUCAGGACUGGGUGUCCGGGACUGUGUGUCCUUAGGUUUAAAUACCUAGCCGCCCUAACUAGACGUACAACUGUCACAACAGUUGGAACUGGUCUACCAAAUCAUUGUCUUCACCAAGCUACCUGGUUCCAUUUCCUCAACCCUUCCAUUUGCUCAGUUAUGUGUUGAGUGCUUGUUCAUAUCUGUUUGAAGACUUUGACUGAAGACUUUCUCAAUUUCCUCAGUUCAAUUUCUUCAGUCUGUUUGUCUUCAUCCUGUGUCAUCCCGUGUUUACGCUUUCCGUACUCUGUGCUUGUCUUCAUUUCAUCAUGAUGACCAUGCUUGUGUUCUGUUAUGUUUACUUCUGAGUACUUAUUCUGCUGCAAGUAGUUCUUCGCUAAGAAAUUUCCUCACCCUGAAAUUCCUCAGUGAAGAAUUCCUAAAAAUCGCCUAUUCACCCCCCUCUAGUCGAUAUAACGCUCUUUCAAUUGGUAUUAGAGCAAGGUACUCCCUUGUUCUGUGUGAUUUUGGUUUAACCACCUGGAGUUCUAGUUAUGUCGACUGUAGGUAUGAUCAAGGUUUCUGCUGGGUGUCCUACCUUUGAUGGGAUGGACUACCCCUACUGGAAGAAUAAUAUGCGCAUGCAUGUUGAGGCAAUUGAUAACGAUCUCUAGUACGUUGUGGAGAAUGGUGUUCCCUCUUGUCGGUUCAAUGUCCGGCAUAUCUCGUAGUAGGGGUCCUAAGCUAGGCUUCUUGGAGCGAUGGUAACAUGGACACGGGAUUUACCCAGGUUCGGGCCCUCCUGAUGGAGGUAAAACCCUACGUCCUACUUUUGAUUGUAUUCAUAUGGGUGUAGUACAGAGUACAUAUGUCUACCACGAGACUGAUCUAAUGAAUAUGAGAUUGUCUAUUGACUAGCCUAGCCUCGGUUUAUAUAAGACACCGGAGGCCUAGGGUUUAGGAGAGUCCUUGUCUUGGGCUCCAAGUCUUGUGGAGUCUUCCUUGUAUGCAGCAGGGGUUGUCCAAACUGGCCCACGAGUAUGCGGCCAUGGGGUCCUCGCCCCAAUCUAACUGAUUGGGAGACGACGUGGUGAGUACCCCCUAGUCCAGGACACCGUCAGUAGCCCACUGAACCGGUCUUCAAGUUGGGGAUGCUCCUCAAUUCUUCUAAACUGUUCUUCAUCUUUGGUCGUCGGUCUUGAAAACUGGUUCAACAAAUCUUCCCAUCUUCGAUCUUGAGGAUCGCCAAAGUGCAUCCGAAGAGUUUACACAUCGGGUAUCCGAGGAGCCCCUUUAAGUUUCCGGCCUUUAUCAAUGCCUUGUUAUUUUCACGCCCACCUCGGGUUUGAAGUUGUCCCCGUGCAGCGGUGUCGUCUUGCAUCCGAGCUCCAAUGCCGGACUGCAUUUGAGGUAUCCUUUGCAGAUGAGCACCAAAGCCGGACUAUAUCCGAGCUCCAACGCCGGACUGAAUCCAAACUCCAACGCCGGAGAGUAUCCGAGCUCCAACGCCGGACUAUAUCCGAGGUGUCAUGGAUCACCUUGGCUCAAAAAAGUCGAAGGAGUUUAGCCGAGCUUAAUGCCAGAAAUGCCCUCUACAGAGCCAACCACAGUCGUCCGAGAUUUAUGCCGGACUGCUUCCGGGGUGUCUAUGGUAGUCGAGCACCAACGUCGAACUGUAUCCGAGGUAAUACACCACCUCGUCCAUGGGCUGAUUUUUAUGAAUUUAAUCUCGAAUUGUGCAAUGUAACCUCCGCUGAGAUGUAUAGCCAGUAGCCCUCAAGGUGCGUGUUGGCCUAAUAUCCGGUAUGCACCUGAAGGAAAAAAAGUCAAACCGCUGACCCUAGUAGCCCGUGAGACUCAGGUCGAUUCAUAAAAUCAGCCUGAGGAUCAAUUCCCAGGUCAGCAACAUACUUAGGAAUAGAAACACGGUGUGCAAAGUUCUCAAGACUCAGGUUGGGUGCGGCCGACCAACCUGAGGAUAAUAAUCUCCUCGAAAACUAUAUUGCACUUUAAAUUUUCUGCAUUGGAUUGUCAAUGCAGUAGCCCCCGAGACACUGGUCAAGUGGCAACACCAGAUCAGGGGAUCGAUGUACCCCUUUAAUAUUUGUAAAUAAUAAGCACGAAGCCCAAUAGCCCCCGAGCCUUAAUGUGGGCAGGGGUGGCCGAAUUAAGGAUCGAUAUCCAAAGUAAAAUCACAAAUUAUGUGUAAUGAUUCUAUGUAUCCAAAUACUUUUCAUCAUCAAUGCUCGGAUCCGCAUUGUACAAAACUUUGUUGACCAACCAUCGGCUUCCACCUCCUUGGCCAGUAGCCGAGGAGUGUUUGUCCUACUUUAUAAAGCCUUUACAAGGGCAAAGAUUUACGACAAACAAGGCAAUCCGGCCAUACGGUUUUAUAAACAAAGGUACGCAGAGAGAUAUGUUGUAUUACGGUUUAAUAUAAGAAAUGUCUUCCAAAGAAAAUAGUCUCGCUAUCGGUUCCUUUCUUUGGGUUGUCAUGCUAAGCAUGAUCAUGAAACCUUAGCUCUAAUGUAAGAGCAAAAUAUUGAGGAUUUAGUAUGGGAGGCCAGCUACUAGCCCCUGGUAGUGUUCGGCAACAGUCGAGGUCAAGCCGUAAACACUUCGGCCAAUGUUAUGAAUGGCCUGUCAUUUAACACGGCCAUCGGAUCGCUGACUAGUUUACACUUAUUGUGACAGUCAGUUUUCAGCUUUCUCCACUGAGGUGCUUAACCAUGUGAGCUGGAAGCACAAUCGCAGUGGUUCUCCCUUUGCACACCUAGCCAAACAAAGUGCAACGUAGGAGGCAAGCACAGGAGCUGGGCAACCCAACUAUUGACUAAAGACACAAUUCGAAACCGAUGCAUAUAAAGCAAUACCCGAGAAUGUUUUGCCGAAUCUCUAAACAUGUCCGGCGCUGCACUUCGAGACUUGUGCUGGAAACACACAAAUAGUUUAAAAGUGCCAAAAGCUUGGAAAACCAAAAAACACCAGUAAAAACAUGACGUCCGAACAAGAUCACGUGUUCGGUGCCAAUCCGAAAAUUGGAAAAAAGAAUUGUGCUUCUGUCGCGCUUUAACAUGACACAUCCGAUCUCAAGACUUCACGCGGGUCAGCCUACGGCUUCAAGCUCCUUAUCCCAAAGGCGGAGUACUUCUCCGAGGUCAGUUUAGCAAACUAAACUCGAGCAACUUUCAGAGAGAAGACAGGCUAUCCGGCUAUUGACCAUACACUCAAGUCGAAAAAGGAGCGGUAGAAAAAGACUUUGCAACGACCAAGAAGAAAACACAUUUACUAUUCAACAACUCAUAUAAAUUUUAAGAGCCCCCAAGUGACUUGGAUAAAAGAAUUUUAUGUAUAAUGAUUGUAUGUACCGAUGUACUUAUAUCAUAUCUGUGUUCACCCGAACUUUAAACGCGUCUUAACCGACCGUCGACUUCUCCCUCUUCGGUCAAGGACCGAAAAGUGUCAUGUACUCCACCUGUCGAGAGUAUCGACGGUGUUUCCGAUGACCAUACAAUCAGGCCAUAAGGCUGUAACAGACAAAGCGCGCUCAGGGAACUUAUGCUAUAUUACUGACGAAGUGUAAGAAGCAUCUUCGAAGAAAAUAGUACCCCCACCGAUACCUUUCUUCGGUGCUCAUUUUUACUAUGAGACUUGUGCAAUAGAUUUUUUGUACUCAUGAGUUCCGUUGUGUGCCGACCAUGAUUGAAAACAAUAAGAGCGCUAGCUUUCGGCUUCACCCAGUCAGAGGUCAGAGCUUGGAUGACCCGGUCGUGACAAUCGCAGAGGUGCUCCCUUUACUCCCUAGCCGAACAAUCGGGAACGUAGGGGUAAACACAAGAGCGAGGCAACCCAGCUUGCAAAUCGCUUAGGUCAAUAUGGUGCAUAUUGUGGCAUAAUACACGAACAAGGAACGAAGCCGUACAAGUAUAAUUAUAUGCAAGAGGAAAAGCUUCAUGAAGGAAGCCCCCAAGUAAACGGGGUAUUUGAAUUUGCGUGUCACAAACAAAGUUUUGACAAGGAACUUUGUCACAAGCAGUCUUUUUGCAAAAAGAAGUAUAAUGCUUGGUCGAAACGAACAAAAUUUAAAACUGAAAGUUUUUGAGCAUGAAAGCUACUUAGCUGGUUAGUGUGCUCAGUGUUGAUGAUGAGGUCCGAACUUAUGGCGGGACGAAGACAUAAUCCUCGGCCUGACCGAGGUCCCAACCCUAAGCCGGUUCCGAAGUGUCCGAAAAAAACUCGGCUUGACGAAGUGGCGACAUAGCACGGUUGAAGUUGGUGCACACAGGGACGCACGUUGAAGCGACACCGCAAUUUGAUCGGUGCAGGCAGGACGACGACAUCAGCCCACAGAGUUGACCGCGUGACGCAGUCAAAGUUGAUUACCUGUGCACAUAAAAAUAGUGCAAGACAAAGGUACUAACAAGUAAUGAUAGUAAUAAGGGUGUGUCUAGGGCACAUCUAGAUGUCCUCUAGUUAUUGCACAUCUAAGUGAGUGAAUCAAGCAUAAAAAGAAAAAGAAAAAAAGAAAAAAAAUAUUCACACGAAUCUCAAUGUAAGAUCAAUGACAUAUAACUUAGAUGUGCAAUACUUAUGGCACAUCUAGAUGUGCUUUAGCAAAACUGAUAGUAAUAAUAUUCCUUUUUUUUAAAAGUUCUUUUGCUUAUUUAACUCAAGCGAAGUAAAUAAUUAAAUAAACAUGGCCUGAGCGCCAAGGUCGGCAUGGCGGAGUGGCCGCGCGGAGAUGUCAGCAGAGGCACACGCGCCGAGGUGACCCCAAAACUUGGUCGACGCAGGCGGGAUGAUGACAUCGGCCCGCCAUGACACCAUCUACAUGCAUGAAAUAGCACAAGACAGAUAAUAAUAACAAAAUAUAGAAAAGAAAAUUUCUUUACAAUUUUUUAUGUAAAAUAAAUUAUUAAAAGGAGAUUUGUCCUGGCACGAGGCCGGUGUGUCGCAGGGCGUCAGUGUGACGAGGUGACAAAAUCCAAAUUCGCAGGGUCGCCCGGGUUAUGGAACGAUGAGUGCGGGACAACGACAGCAUAUCGAAUCGCCCUAAGAAGACAGCCUCAAGGUAGACCAGACUGCAAAACCUGUAGUACGAAUCGUCGAUGAGCAGAAAAUACUCUUUGAAAUGUUAUUAAUAUGCACAAUGUGAAUAACUAGAACAAUUGCACCUAUCGACUUAUCCGAUGACGUCGAAGCUGAUAGCAGGCGAGAUGAUUAUGGAUGAGGGACGUCCUUGCCGGAGUGCGUCAAGACUGCGUCAGGCCGACCAAUAUACGGAACUGUCGAUCUGAAUGCGGAGGUCAGUUUGAUGAAGGUUCUGACGCUUAUGUCGGCUGGCCAGAUCGAUGCAGACGAAAAAAGCAUUUACAAGCAUCGGCAAGUAUCUCUGCAAAAAAUAAUGCAGUACAAACCAACAGAAAAUGAUCCACGUGCAACAAUCCCUAGAACAUAGUAAAAGGAAAGGGAUCCACGCUUCCUGUUGACCGCCUCUUAGUGCACAUAGCAAUUUGAGGGAAAAGUAAACUUGGCCAUGUACUCCACGUGAAGUGGUGGUGUUACGUAGCUAGCUAAACCAGUACUAGCGCCUUAUUCUGGUAGUAGUAGCACUAGUUGGCGUGGUAGUCAUCAAGAAGUGAAGGCCGGGUGCAAAACUAGUACAUGAUUGCGUUAGAACUAUGCAAACUUUAACAAAAAUAAAAAACUACUAGUGGACAACCGAUGGCAGGCUGAAUUAAAUAAGGAAAAAGAAUGAGAAUAAGGGAAAGGAUCUCCCUUGAUGAUCGAUGCCAGUGGUGGAUUUGUCCUUGCUCCGCGAUCAAGAACUGCAUGUGCCAUUAGGGCCAGUUUGAAAAUCCAUUAAACGCCCCCGUCUGUCGAUCAAAGGACCGGAGUAGGGCGCUAAACACAGUGUAGGAGCGCGUCGUUGAUCGCAGAUUUUUUAGACCUUGAUCUCGACCUAAUCUGCGGACCAAGCUUGCAAACCAGAGACAAUUAUCAUAAAAACUAACUUGUGAAAAAUAGAUUUGAUUAUAAAAAUAUCACCUGAUCAUCCCAUCGAUCCGCGUCGAUCACCUAGCAGGCUCUCAAUGAAAGCACCAAUGCCAGUUGAAUAUCCGGCGUAUCUCGUAGUAGGGGUCCUAAGCUAGGCGUAUUGGAACGAUGGUAAUAUGGACACGGGAUUUACCCAGGUUCGGGCCCUCUUGAUGGAGGUAAAGCCCUACGUCCUGCUUUUGAUUGUAUUCAUAUGAGUGUAGUACAGAGUACAUAUGUCUACCACGAGACUGAUCUAAUGAAUAUGAGAUUGUCUAUUGACUAGCCUGGCCUCGGUUUAUAAGACACCGGAGGCCUAGGGUUUAGGAGAGUCCUUGUCUUGGGCGCCAAGUCUUGUGGAGUCUUCCUUGUAUGCGUCAGGGGUUGUUCGAACUGGCCCACGAGUAUGCGGUCAUGGGGUCCUCGGCCCAAUCUAACUGAUCGGAAGACGACGUGGUGAGUACCCCCUAGUCCAGGACACCGUCACCUUUGUCACUCCCACCAUCAAUGCUGCUAAUGUGAAGAGAUUCAAGCAACUCGACUCUCAAGCGAAGAAUAUCAUAUGUGGCCAUCUGAGCAGAGGACAGUAUGGCAGAGUGAGUGCUUUGGACACAGCCAAGCUUAUCUGGGACAUGCUGUCCAAGGUCAAUGAGGGAGUCUCAACACAACGUGACUCUAGAGUUGACGUUUUUCGAAAUCUCUUCAACCGCUUCAAAAGACUCAACAAUGAAAAUGUUCAACAAGCCUUCGAUCGCCUCACUGACAUCUCAAAUGAGCUUCAAGCACUUGGUGCCGCAGAUAUCACUGACCAUGAGGUGGUGAAGAAAUUGCUGAGAUCGCUUGAUUCCUCAUUUGAUACCUUGGCAUUGAUGAUACAAGAACGUGGAGACUAUAAGUCACUUGAUCCCGCUGACAUCCUCGAGAGACUAAACACUCAUGAGUUUCAGCUUGCUGAGAAGAGAGAUCUCUAUGGACCAAGCUAUGGUAGAUCACGGGCUCUGAAGGCCAAGGCCGUAUCCAAAUCUGAUGGUGAAGAUUCUGACAGAAGCCUUGGUGACCCUGAAGAACUGAGCCAGGAGCUAGAAAUGCUCGUGAGGAAGUUCCAAAAGUUCUCAAGACAUGGUCGUUUUGGUAAAUCCUCAAGAGGUGGUGACUUGAGAUCAGAUUCCUUAUCACAGGAUUACAAGAAGAGACUCUGCCAUAAAAGCAAAAAACCUGGACACUACAUUCAAGAUUGUCCUCAGUGGGAAAAGGAAUUGAAGAAGAAGAAGAAGAAGUACCAGGAUUACAGUUCUGAUGAUUCAAAGAAGAAGAAGAAAUCUUCAAAGUCCUCAUCAUCAAGACCCUCAAAGUCCUCAUCUCACAAGAAGACAAUGUUGGGGAUAUCGCUUAUCGGGAACUUAUCGGUCGACCCAUGAUAAGGGGUAAAUCAGCCACUUUAUCGGCAUAUCAACCGAUUUAUCGCCAUAUCGGCUGAUUUAUCGGCCGUUUUAUCUUAUCGGUUUGGCAGCGGUAAGCUAUAAAUCGGCCGAUUUAUCGGCAUAUCGGAAGAUAUCUUGAACAAUGCAAGAAGAGCAGCUCCAAGAAGGCUCGAGCAUUCAUUGGCAAGGAAAUGGACUCUAAGGCUGAAUCUAAAGAAAAUGAGGAAGAGGAGGAAUCUGAGGAGUUAGACUCUGGUAUGGCGAGCCUAGCCCUUGCAACUGCUUUCGUCAGCAAGUCUAUCUUCAACCCUGAAGAAAUGGACCUCCCCAACACUACUGAUGACGACGACGAGGACUACGCUCCCACCUAUUCCUUCAUGGCAAAAGGCUCAAAGGUACUCAAAUAUCCCUCCUCUGAAUCUAGUGAGGAUGAAUCUGAUGAAAACCUCAAACCCAGCUAUUCUAAACUUUCUAAGAUUGCUGUGAAACUACAAAAGUCUCUUGAAAAGGUUCAAAAUAUGCUAGAUAAAAGCGAUGGUAUGUUGGGUGAGGAAAUGGAUCGCACUAAAAUCUUGACUGAAAAUCUUCAAAGACUCCAGUCCAAGUUUGACAAUCUUCAAGGUCAUCAUAACACUCUCCUAUCUGAUCAUGAGAAGCUUUCUUAUGAAUUUCUUCAAAGAAAGCAAGACCUUGAGCAGUUAAGAGUGAGUUAUGAAGAUCUUCAGAAGGAGCGUGAUUCAUUACUCGCUCAGCAGAUCAGCGCUACUCAGGAUGAAUUUGUUCCUCCAUGUUUGAAGUCCAUUCAACGUGAAACUGCUAAUUCAUCACCUGAAUGCUCAAAUACUUCCAUUACUACAAAUUCUUCAACUGCCUCUGCUAUCACUAAUUCCUCAUCUGAGGACAUUGCCAGUAUUACUAAUGAUGCAGGGCUGAAGGAAUUGUAUAUGACAGGCAUGUACAAAAGCCUCAAAGGGCAUCAAGCUAUUUGUGACGUGCUUAAAAAGCAGAUCCUCAACAGAAACCCUAGGAAAGAGGGUAUUGCCUUUGAGAGGAAAAUCAAUGCUGAUGGGACCUACUGGAAACCUGAGCAGUAUCCCAAAACCUCAUGGGUUGCUGCAAAGGGACCUUCAGUGGAUCCAUCUACCUUAUCUGGCUUUACGUGUGAAUCUUCAUAUUCUUCUGAUGAGUCAUUUGACUCCAACUAUAAACUGUUCAAAAAUCAGAAUGGUGAAGUAUUUGCUAGAUAUGUUGGCGCUAACUGCAGGAACAGUCCUCCUAUGAAGAAAAUCUGGGUUCCCAAAAGAUGCCUUGAAAAUCUUCAGGUGAAUGUCAUCAUGACGCUACCUGUGAAGAAUAGGAACCCCAGAUCAAAUUCUUCAUAUGGACCAAAUUCUUCAUAUGGAUCCAAGUCCUCAUACGGACCAAAUUCUUCACGUGGAUCAAAUUCCUCAAAAGGAUCAAAGUCCUCAUAUGAUUAUCAUCAUGCUAAUAACUCUGUUUCGCAGGGAAGAUCUAAGGAUUAUGGAUAUGUGCAUUAUUCUUCAAAUUAUUAUGUUCGUAAGUCCUCGAAGAAUUUCUGUUCUUACUCUUAUGCUUACCCUAACCACUCUUAUGUGAAACGAAGUGGAUUGGCAUCUAUGCCACCUUUCUCUUAUGGAGCUCGUAGAAUGAUGAACUCUUUGCCACCCCUUCAGAUGUGGGUGGUGAAGAAAAAGAACUAACCUCAUAUGCAGGGUCAGGUCUCCACACGAACUUAAACGUGUGAUGAAUUUGCUAGAGACCUGAAUAUGCUUGAAAGGACGCAAGCUAAUCAUAAAGAAAUGAAUUUUCAUUUCUCACAUCCUCAUACUAUUUUAUCUGUUCUAUUUUCUGAUGAAAUUGAUGUCAUAUUGUUCACUGAUGAAGUAUAUGAGUUCAUAAGUUGCACUAAUUCAUCUGCAGGAUGAUCAACCCAAAGCCACUGAGUGGGUCCUCGAUAGUGGAUGCACAAAUCAUAUGACUGGUGACAGGAGCUUAUUAAUGGACACUUCUUUAUCUCCAUCACAGCUGAAGCACAUCACCUACGCUGACAAAGGCAAAAGCAAGGUAUUAGGUCUAGGUAAGGUUGCAAUCUCAAAGGAUCAACACAUGGACAAAGCCAUGCUUGUUGAGUCCUUAGGGUUCAACCUCAUGUCUGUCGCAAUGCUUUGUGAUCUUGAUAUGGUGGUUGUCUUUGGCAAGUAUCGUUGUGUUGUGAUCAUGGAAGCUGAAAAUUCCAAAGUCUUCGAAGGCUUUAGGAGAGGAGAUUUGUAUAUUGUUGAUUUAUUUACAGGACCACAACCUGCUACAUGUCUACUUGCAAAAGCUUCAGAAGGCUGGCUAUGGCAUCGACGACUUGGUCACGCUGGCAUGAGGAAUUUGAACACGCUCGCGAAGAAGAAGCAUGUCAUCGGCAUUGAAAAUGUCAAAUUCCUCAAGGAUCACUUAUGCGGAGCCUGUGAAGCUGGAAAGAUGACCAAGGCCAAGCAUCCAGCGAAGACUAUCAUGACUACUACUCGACCAUUUGAAUUGCUUCACAUGGAUCUCUUUAGCCCUACGCACUAUGCCACAUUUACCAAUGCUGCAUCCUUAUAUGGCUUUGUCAUUGUUGAUGAUUACUCUCGAUAUACAUGGGUCCAUAUUAUCACUUACAAAACUAAAGUGCAGGAAGUCUUCAAACGAUUUUCCUCGAGGGCUUCAACCAACUUUGGUGUGAAGAUCAAGCACAUCAGGAGUGAUAAUGGAACUGAGUUCAAGAACACUGGCCUUGAUGACUAUCUUGAUGAACUUGGUAUUACUCAUGAGUUAUCUGCUCCUUAUACUCCUCAGCAAAAUGGCGUCGGGGAGUGCAAGAACAUGACUCUUGUUGAGAUGGCCCGCACGAUGCUUGAUGAGUACAAUACGCCUCCUCGCUUCUGGCCUGAGGCAAUUGAUACUGCAUGCCACAUCAUCAACAGAGUAUAUAUUCACAAAUUCUUCAAGAAGACUGCCUAUGAACUCCUCACUGACAAGAAACCUAAUGUGAGUUAUUUCAAAGUCUUCGGUGCUAAAUGUUGGAUUAGAGAUCCUCAUCACAGUUUGAAAUUUGCACCGAAAGCACAUGAAGGUUUUAUGCUCGGUUAUGGUAAGGACUCGCACACCUACAGAGUCUUCAACACCUGUCAUCACAAGGUUGUUGAAACUGUAGAUGUGCGGUUUGAUGAGACUAAUGGAUCGCAAAGAGAGCACCUACCUCCUGUGACAGAUGAAAUACCUCUUGAGGAAUCUAUUAAGUUCAAGGCUACAGAGGAUGUCAUUCCUACUGAAGAAUCUGCUAAAGAAUUUAUUCCAGAGCAUGAGGAACAUCAUGAUAAUGCACCUGAGGAAAAUGGUGCUGAAGAAAAUGCUGAUCAAAUUCCUCAACGUCAACCCGCUCAUCCUCGCGUUGCAAAUGAAGUGCAAAUUGAGAAAAUCAUCAGCGAGAUCAACAUUCCAGGUCCUCUCACACGCUCAAGAGCUUCACAUUUAUCUAACUUUUGUGGGCACUUUGCUUUCGUCUCUAUCACAGAUCCCACUAAGGUAGAUGAAGCAUUUCUGGAGCCUGAGUAGAUUCAGGCCAUGCAAGAAGAAUUACAUCAGUUCAAGCUCAACAACAUCUGGGAACUGGUCAAACGUCCAGAUCCUCGCAAGCACAAUAUCAUCGGCACAAAGUGGAUCUACCGCAACAAGCAAGUUGAAAAUGGCCUUGUGGUGAGGAAUAAAGCACGGCUUGUAGCUCAAGGCUACACACAGGUUGAAGGAAUUGACUUUGAUGAAACUUUUGCACCUGUUGCUAGACUUGAGGCUAUUCGCAUAUUACUUGCUUAUGCUAACCAUCAUGAUAUCACUUAAUAUCAAAAGGAUGUGAAAAGUGCAUUCCUCAAUGGUAAGCUUGAGGAAGAAGUAUAUGUUGCUCAACCCCCAGGUUUUGAAGAUCCAAAGCAUCCUGACAAAGUUUUCAGACUAAAUAAGGCCCUCUAUGGCCUCAAGCAGGCCCCACGAGCGUGGUAUGAUACUUUGAAGGAAUUCCUCGUGAAGAAAGGCUUCAAACCUGGUUCACUCGGCCCUACUCUUUUCACUAAAUCUUAUGAUGGUGAACUAUUUGUGUGCCAAAUAUAUGUUGAUAAUAUUAUCUUUGGCUGUACUAACCAACGCUAUACUGAUGAAUUUGGUUAUAUGAUGAGGGAGGAAUAUGAAAUGUCUAUGAUGGGAGAAUUUAAAUUCUUCCUAGGUCUUCAAAUUCGUCAACAACACAAUAGCAUAUUCAUAUCUUAGGAGAAAUACCUCAAGGAUGUACUGAGGAAAUUCGGCAUGCAAGAUUGCAAAGGCGUCAAAAUUCCUAUGCCCACAAAUGGCCAUCUAUGCACUGAUGAAAAUGGUAUUGACUUUGAUCAAAAGGUAUAUCGCUCCAUGAUUGGUUCUUUAUUGUACUUAUGUUCAUCUAGGCCAGAUAUAAUGCUUAGUGUUUGCAUGUGUGCCCGAUUUCAAGCUACACCGAAGAAAUCACACCAUAAGGCUGUGAAACAUUUUCUUCGAUAUCUAGCUCACACACCAACACUUGGAUUAUGGUACCCCAAGGGCUCGACUUUUGAUCUCAUUGGAUAUUCUGACUCUGACUAUGCUCGUGAUCAUGUGGACCGCAAAUCAACAUCUGGUACAUGUCAUUUCCUUGGAAGAUCUUUGGUCUGUUGGUCCUCGAAGAAACAGAACUGCGUAUCUCUGUCUACUACUGAAGCUGAGUACAUUGCUGCUGG